rnacentral:lncRNA from 1 species
AAUAAUCAUGUUUCAAUAAAAUUGCUAAGGCCAGAGACAAUACAUAAACAUAUUAGACUGUUCAUGACACAUAUCACGGUGGACAGUGUCUAUGUCCUUAUUACAAGCAGCGAGAGGAAUUAAAUAUGCUUGACACCACACACACGAGCGCACAGAUGCACGACACACAUAUAGUUGAGACCAACAGAUGGACCUCGACUAGAGGUCGCCUCAUAUGGUGAACAAUUUAUUGGAGAUAAACAUGAACAUAACUUGGCCAUAGCUUGAAGCAUAGCAACAUAUGCCUAUGAAUGGCAUUCAUGCUGGUAGCAAUGCAAUCAUAUCGUUUUAGGCUUGUCCAGCUUCUUCCAUCUUAGCAAGCACUGCCAUUUCUUCCAUCUUAGCAGCAACUGUCAAAUUGAGAUAUGGUAUCCCAUUAGCGUAUGAGUUAAUUUUGCACUGGAAAUAGAGUACAAGAUGUCUUCAUGAUGUAAGUAAUAUGCCUGAAGUUGUGAGAUGGGAAGUGAAGUCAACAAAUUACAUUAACGGAAAUGCAUGGAAGGCCACACAUACGUAUUAGUCCACGAUAUGCUACAAAGCUUGUAUGUACAUAUAACAAAUUAAAUGCAUUGAAUAGAGUGAGUUUACUGAAUUUACCAGAAUCGGACAGAACACAUGGGAAACAGCAAGUGUUCUUGCAGAGUGAGUCGGAGCCACCUGCAGUAAUACAAGCAAAACAACAUGCUUUUGCCCGGGCGGAUACGCAGCAGCUGCACUGUGCCGCGGUGGCCGGGUUAACAUUGAGGCUCAAGAUGACCAGGCACAUGAUCACCAUCAAAGCGGUAGUCCUCUUUCCCUCCAUUGCCUCCUCUUGCUGCUACCUUCCUUGGUUACCUAGCUAAGUUUAUUGGUUUUGUGUUGAGAGGUGAUUCUUGAAUGGACGUUGCCGGCUGCAAUUUAUAGGCAGCUGCGCUAUGUGAUGAUAUGGACAAGGUGCAAAUGGGUGGUCCAAUGGCAAGGAAAGGGGGUAUUCUGCUUGACAUUGGCAUCAGACAAAGCCCAAUGGCAACUGCUGACACGCGAUUAAAAUCAGAUCCACAUCUUAUCCAGCCAUUCACUAAUAAUUAAACUAAACCCACGCGGUCCGCGAGAUGCAGCGUCCAUGCAUAGCACUUCCCGCAAACAAUAGGAAAAAUUAGAAUUCAGAGAUAGCAGCUGCUUGCAUGAAACACGGUUGCACAGAAAUCAGUGGUGCUUGGACGGUAAGUAGUGUGGUGUACAAGCUUAAAGCGGCAGUGAGUCACGUUGGUGUAACAAGCAGUACAUCAGCUGGAAGAUUGAUAUGUCUAUUGCCCACGCAGCAUAGCAUUUUAUUAUGAUACAUUGAGUUAUGUCAUAUUGUUACUUUAAGUUAUUUUUUAAGUAUUAGUUGUAGACAAUUUAGUUGCAAAUUUAAGCGGUUAUUUUAAAUUAUUUUUUAUAAUGGAAUAAGUGGGUAAUUUAGAUGAAGAUUAGGGGGUUACUUUAGCUUAUUUUAUAUAAUAGCAGAGGUGGGUAAUUUAGAUAUAAAUUUAGACACGUUUAACAAAAUGUAUCUACAGUUUCUGACACGGUCCGUGUGGAGACGCUCCAGACAUGCUUUACUCAAGCGCAUCUAUACUUCAGUAGAAAUGAAAUAAAGCGUAUCUAACAUAGGAAUAAAGUGUAUCUAGAGGAGGUUUUUCUUGUAGCGAGGGAUGAACCAUUAUUGGACGAACUGGCACACUUGCUUCUACCCGCUCCCCCACACCCCACAACCGCCCCCAGUGUGAGCGUCCAAGUCUCGAUCGUUGCUCGCGUUAAGCGGUGCCGCCGCACUGCACCACAGCGACAGAAGCCACACCACCGGCUGCAUGUGACAGCGGGGAGCACCCUCACCACCUGCCCGCGGGGAGCGCUUACGCCAGCCAUAGUGUCCCCGUAGAACCGCCACGCGAGCAUGUGAGCCACCGACCGCCGUGCCCCCAAGGGCCAUCACCGCGCUACCCGAGGAUGUUGUCUACCCGGUGCCACGCGCCUCUGCUAGGUGCCUGCACCUGGGCCGCCACCGGUCGCCUGCACAGCCACGUGUUGCAGCUGCCCCCUGCGCUGAGCCACCCCAUUAAACGUUGGAAGAACCACCUGAGUCUCGCACGCCGAGGUCUUGCUGGUGACGACCAUGGCCUCCGCGAUCAUAUGAAAAAGUUGUCAACUACAAAGUAUUAGGCCUCGUCGAGCUCUACAAUUUUGAUCGAAAGUUUCUAUUCAUCCGAGAUCAAAUGAAAAAGUUGGUACUCAAAAUAUACAUCCAUUAAUCUAGUCGUGCUAAUCCUUACCACAAAUUAAAAAACUAGCAUGUGUCGUGUGUUUGUGACCCUAAACAAUCACAAACGAAUAACUUAUCAACUUCAAAAUUUAGCUGAUCAGGAGUCUAGGCAACCUCAAGGGUAUAAAUAUGUGCACCCUGAGGCUUGCAAGAUUUUAUCUCUCGAUUAAUCAAUGCAAUUUUUGGGCGCCACGCAGCCAAACCCUUAGGAGUAGAAGUAACGUAGCUUUUUGAUGAGUAUCUUCUUGCGCGCAGGGCUGCAUCAGCUUCGAUAUCCGACGAACUUGUAAGUACCGUCAUCCGGUCAUUACGUUAUCUAUAUUAAAAGUUUCUAGGCAUCAUCCAAUAUUCUAAUCUUUUAUCGUGUGGCUAAUUAUCGAGUUAUCUUAUAUUGUAAAUAAAACUUGCUAGGGUUUGUCCAAUAUUCCAUUUGUUUUCAGCGUUACUGCUUAAUUAGAUCUGCUUAGGUUGUUCUCAUCGGCUUCUAGUCUUGUUUAAACGUUCACAAGUUAUUUGAUCGUAUCGGCAAGUUCGACCUUGCAUGCUUUUAUCGCUUUAUCUAUACUAGGUCCGAUAGAUCUUUACCCCUUCCCCUUGUAUUGCUAGCAGUUGGAUCCAUAACGUUAGAACGAUACUGUUGAGAGCUGAUGCAUUGAUUUAGUAUCAUCCAUAUCUCAUAGAAUGUAUCAUGGUUAAUGGCAAUUUAAUGAAAUUAUAAAGGAUAAUAACAAUCGUGCUUUCGGCGUUCCAAAAAUCAAUCAAGAAUUCAUCAUGGUUGUGCAGUGUAUGGAAACCUUAUGGUAAUAGUUAGAUGGGAAAUGUUGUAUUAUGUAAUAAAUCCAGGUACUUCACAAAUCAUGAUCGAUGGAUGUCUAACACUGUUGAAAGAGAUUGGAAUAAAGCAGACUCACCUCAGACUAUGCACCAUGUCUGAGUGACCCACCUCACCUUGCCAGGUCACUGGUCUUGCCAGCACACAAGCUAUGAUGUUGCCAGGAGUGGUCAGUACACAAAUCUAGCUACCAGUCGGAUCGAAGGGCAGGCAUUUGCAUUGUGGUUGUGCUUGAACAUGGAGAUGUCUUGCGAUUGUCACGCACCAUACAUCCUCUCUCAGUUUCACUCCGCCUCACACACGGAUAGGACACCAGGGACCCGACACCAUGCAUGCCGAUUUCAUAUUAUUAAUAUUUAUUUUUUGAAUGGUUGUUGAAACUAUAUAUAUAGUUAGUCCAAUCUCACGUUUCCGAUUAUAAAAAUUAACAUAAAGAGAUCGGAAGGGAGAGCACUAGAGCCGGCAUUUAUACAAACUGGUAUGAAUAGUAAAAUCUAGAAUUCAUAAAUAAAAAAAUGAUUUGCACAUCUAUGCAAUAAUUAGUGGUUAGUGGUAGGUCUAGAGAGAUAUCUCAUCAAAUCGAUGAGUUAUAUCCGGUUUAAACGAGGAUAAAAAUGAGUGUAGUCUUUUCGCAGCUGUACCGCCUUUCCUUUCGUGUGUUCUAUUGUUCCCCUAACACCAAGUCUCCAAGACUCAAGAAAAUAAGGAAAGUGAUAGCAGCCUAGAAAUCGACCAAGUUUCUUUCCCCCUUUGGCUUUUCUACUAGGAUUCGGAAUCCUCUUUCGCAUGACAAUCUUAAUUAUCUCCCAUAGUUCAAAACUCACAAAACUAUCAAAAAUCCACCGAGAAUAAAUUAUGUAAAAACAUGCACACACAGAUAAUAAUAAUAAUAAUCAUGUUUCAAUAAAAUUUCUAAGGCUAGAGACAAUACAUAAACAUAUUAGACUAUUCAUGACACAUAUCACAGUGGACAGUGUCAGUAUCCUUAUUACAAGCAGCGAGAGAUGCUUGUCACCACACACACGCGUGCACAGAUGCACGACAUACAUAUAGUUGAGACCAACAAAUGGUUGCCCCAUAUGGUGAACAAUUUAUUGGAGAUAAACAUUAACAUAACUUGGCCAUAGCUUGAAGCAUAGCAACAUAUGCCUAUGAAUGGCAUUCAUGCUGGUAGCAAUGCAAUCAUAUCGUUUUAGGCUUGUCCAGCUUCUUCCAUCUUAGCAAGCACUCCCAUUUCUUCCAUCUUAGCAACAACUGUCAAAUUGAGAUAUGAAAAUUCCAUUAGCACAUGAGUUAAUUUUGCAGUGGAAAUAGAGUACAAGAUGUCUUCAUGAUGUAAGUAACAUGCCUGAAGUUGUGAGAUGGGAAGUGAAGUCAACAAAUUACAUUAACGGAAAUGCAUGGAAGGCCACGCAUGCAUACGUAUUAGUCCACGAUAUGCUACAAAGCCUUCUAUGUACAUAUAACAAAUUAAAUGCAUUGAAUAGAGUGAGUUUAGUGAAUUUUACCGGAAUCGGUCAGAGUACAUGGGAAACAGCAAGUGUUCUUGCAGAUGAAGUCGGGGCUACCCGCAGCAAUACAAGCAAAACAACAUGCUUUUGCUCGGGUGGAUACGCAGCAGCCACACUGUGCCGCGGUGGCCGGGUUAACAUUGAGGCUCAAGAUGACCAGGCACAUGAUCACCAUCAAAGCGGUAGUCCUCUUUCCCUCCAUUGCCUUCUCUUGCUGCUACCUUCCUUGGUUACCUUGCUAAGUUUAUUGGUUUUGUGUUGAGAGGUGAUUCUUGAAUGGACGUUGCCGGCUGCAAUUUAUAGGCUGUGUGAUGAUAUGGACAAGGUGCAAAUGGGUGGUCCAAUGGCAAGGAAAGGGGGUAUUGGCAUCAGACAAAGCCCAAUGGCAACUGCUGACACGCGAUUAAAAUCAGAUCCACAUCUUAUCCAGCCAUUCACUAAUAAUUAAACUAAACCCACGCGGUCCGCGAGAUGCAGCGUCCAUGCAUACACUUCCCGCCAAACAAUAGGAAAAAUUAGAAUUCAGAGAUAGUAGUGUGCCAGCAGCUGCUUGCAUGAAACACGGCAAUCAGUGGUGCUUGGACGGCAAGUAGUGUGGUGUACAAGCUUAAAGCGGCCUUGUGUAACAAGCAGUACAUCAGCUGGAAGAUUGAUGUCUAUAGAGGCUUGUUAUUAUCUUUAAUUCCACAUACUGCACAAUGUCAAAGUAAAAUGCGAAAGGAUAACAAGCUGAUACAGAGUGAUUGGAUUUACUUGAGGAGUAGCUUGAAGAAACAUCCAGCAACAACAGAAAAGUCAAAGUAUCGAGCCCAUGAAGCUAUAAAGCAGAUUGUAUUGGCUAGAAGAUUCAGGACGCUGGACUUACAAAAGUUGGAAGCAUGACAUUCAUACUCCGAACUUAGGGGCCUGUGUUCACACUGGAUGAUUUUAGCCGGUGAAAUCCCUUGUUUCGCAUUUUUCAUCAGGUCCCAAUGCCCAUGCAGCAUAACAUUUUAUUAUGAUACAUUGAGUUAUGUCAUAUUGUUACUUUAAGUUAUUUUUUAAGUAUUAGUUAUAGGCAAUUUAGUUGCAAAUUUAAGUAGUUAUUUUAAAUUAUUUUUUUAUAAUGGCAUAAGUGGGUAAUUUAGAUGAAGAUUAGGGGGUUACUUUAGCUUAUUUUAUAUAAUGGCAGAGGUGGGUAAUUUAGAUAUAGAUUUAGGGGUUACUUUAGGCUAUUUUCUUAAUGGAAUAGGUGGGUAAUUUUUUUAGAAAAUAUAAUAGAUCCAAUGGCUACGAUGAUUUGAGUCUAAUGAUUGAUGGCAAGAUGUUUUGCUUGUUUGUGGGAAUUUUAAAUAUUUCUCUUUUUUCUAGAGUGUCCACCUAGAAUGCUAGGUGGUUUCACUUGGAGGCUUCAAAAGGAGCUUCCAAAUUAGUAAUAGUAAGAUUUUCUCAAAAGAGACUUGAUUCUACCACUAUAACUUGAUUGGCCGCCCCGGCCUCUACCUUUGCCUCCAUUUGACUAUUUGAGUUGGCUGUCAACGAUUCACGGUGCUGGCAACAUUACGUUUGAUCCAAAUGCCACUACUCAUGUGCGCCAGCUGUAUUCUACCAAGUGGCAUGUGGGAAUGCCAUGAUGCAUGUGCAGUAACAGCGUGCACAUCUUGUAGGAUUCGCACCUCGUUUUCACUAUUGUAUCAUCUUAGCGAUUAGGAGCGAAGUGUGCUUUGGGGUUGCAAUUGGGAUAUAGACCUUAUUCUCGAAGAGAAUCUUAAAAGCUUACAUUCGCCCCCUCCGGUCGCCCGUGUUCCGAUCCUUCACCUAUAAAUUAGGAGUAGCAGGUAGUAAGUGGCAGGUUAGAUAAGUACUCGUUGAUGAAUGUUGACUUGGCGUGAUCGGCUCUGCUAUUUUCACGAAGAUGCCAAUAUUGAAAGCACAUCCACCAUUUCUGCGGAUGUGAGGGAUGAACUAAUUAAUUGUUUCUUGUCCAUUAUUGCACCGUACCUCCCAUUUUCCCGUUUUCCAAACAAUUAAAGGUACCCUUACGUUACGCUUGAUCCAAAUGCCACCACUCAUGUGCGCAAGUGGCAUGUGGUAAUGCCAUGAUGCAAGUGCAGUAACAGCGUGUACAUCUUGCAUGAUUCGCGCCUCGUUUUCACUAUUGUAAUCUAUAAAGAAACAAACAAAAAACAAAACGAUGGAUGGAUCAGCUCGGGAUCCAAUAAUCGAGAGGAAUUCAAGGAAAAAGAAAAAUUUGGGAUCACGUGUGCGGAUCCUAAUAACAAUAUAUAGUAGGACAUCUCCAUGCUCACCUAGUAGCCACUACUAGUGCGCCGGCCCAGUUGGCGCUAAGACAUCGUACGUGCAUUAAGGGGGUGUUUGGAUACUGGACGCUAAACUUUAGCAGUGUCACAUCGGAUGUUCGGAUGCUAAUUAGGAGGACUAAACAUGAGCUAAUUAUAAAACUAAUUGCAGAACCCCUGUGCUACUUCGCGAGAUGAAUCUAUUAAGGCUAAUUCAUCCAUCAUUAUCAAAUGGUUACUGUAGCACCACAUUAUCAAAUUAUGGACUAAUUAGGCUUAAUAGAUUCAUCUCGCGAAUUAGACUCCAUUUGUGCAAUUAGUUUUGUAAGUAGUCUAUGUUUAAUACUUCUAAUUAGCAUCCAAACAUCCGAUGUGACAGGUGCUAAACUUUAACAGUGGGGAUCCAAACGGGGCCUAAGUCUGUGGUGCCCAACGAUCUCUUUCUUCUAACUCAUGCUUGACUGUGACGGUGCUAUUAUAUAUUAUUGCAUGAUCAUCAGGAUAAGAUCGUAUAGUGACUGAGUGAGACAUGUAUGUACUAACUUGCAUUUAUCCAAGAAGAGGCACAUGAGUAGUGGUGCAUGCAUCCACACCUUGGCAUGCUGCAAACUUUUAUGGGUCCAUAUGUAUAGCCAAGUAAACUAUUUUAUCCUGCUGCAAGCUGCAGACAUAAGUUUAUUUAACCUUUGUUCACAAUCACUUCCACUGUCGUCGCAAUUGCCAAAGACAAGCUCACCAAUGCUAUUGCGGAGCAGGCCAAUUUCCUGUGGAACUUCGGCGACGACCUGAAGGACAUGAACUCGGUGCUGGAGUCCAUCUCAGCAGCGCUUCAGGACGCUGACACCGGUAGAAAAACGACAUUCCAUCCUCAACAAAAAUCCUAGCAUCCUCUACUCAGUCAGAUGUACUGUGUAGGUGAGAUGGUAAGGAAGCUAUGCGCGAGGCUUGAGGUCGUGAGUUCGAAUCCCAUGCACCACGCACGCACGCGCAUAUUUCGCGUGACUUGUGAUCAGCCAAGGAGAAAUGGGUGCAGCUGUUGCUUAAGUGCCUGAGGCACACUGCCAUAGACAUCUCGGAUUUGCUCGAAGACUACCAAGAAACUAGGAACCCUUAACAGCAAAGGUGAGUACUUAUGUAUGUCAGCAUCUAUGUUGUCCAUGCUUCCAAUGCAAUAACACGAAGGACUACUCUUCCUAGCGGACUCUUCACAAUCACUCGUAAAGGUAUGCGUUUCUCAAUGCAAUUUCAUAGAAGGCAAUCGAUCCAACCAAGCGACUAAAUCAUUCGUCCUUGCCAAUGAUGUGCAUCAGGUUUUCUAUAUGAAGGGCAUGUCUAGCAAACCCAAGAUUUCAGAACAAAAGAAAAAUCAUGUGAGCCAAAGCGCCACAUUGUUCUUCCAAGUAAAAAAAAUCAUGGGAGUCAAGAACAAAUCAGACCAAUCAGGGGAUUAUUGUCAGCUUGAUGGCAUGCCUCCAUUCGAUGUCGAAGUUGACCCAAGCAUCAUGUUAGCCAAAGUUCAAAUGUUCGUGCGUUGCUAUGGUAAAUAUCAAUUGUGUUUUUUAAACUCAUGGAUUUUUUUAUCUAAGUUUUUAUUACACUUAUUGGAUGUCUACACAUUUGCUAGAAAACCAAAAUAAUUUUGACUUAAUUAUUUCUUUCAACUCAAAUACUCAUUAAAUUUCUACGUUUUUAUUUAAGCAAGAGAGUUGCUACAAAAAAAUGGAUACGUAACCAUAUUGUAUCAUACAAAGCAACCACAUUUCACAUAUAGUCCGGCUUUGCAAACACCAUUGUUAUCUGAACAUAGCAUACAUGAGUUAGUAGACAUGGAUAUAUUUCUAAUUGCAAGUAGCAUAUAACCAGCCUGCACCGACGCAGCUCAAUAUGCGAUAAUUUUUAUCUUCCCAUGUAAUUUUUCUACUCUAGUACAUAUUGAACUCCACAUAAAUGUGAUCUUUCACGCCACAUACGGUUCCUAAAGUUUGGAAACUAAAUAGAUAGCCAGAAAUUUUUUAGAAAGUAUUUAUAUGGAUACAUGUAUGUUCUUCGCAAACUAACAGUAUUGUUUACCAAUAUCAAAAGGAAUAUGGCUAGGAUCAUUGCCGCAUAUGGCAGGUGAUGGUAAAGUUAUCAACUGCAAAGUAUUAGGCCUCGUUGAGCUCUACAAUUUUGAUAUAAAGUUUCUAUUCAUCCGAGAUCAAAUGAAAAAGUUGGUACUCAAAACAUACAUCCAUUAAUCUAGUCGUGCUAAUACUUACCACUAAAUGAAAAACUAGCAUGUGUUGUGUGUUUGUGACCCUAAACGAUCACAAAUGAAUAACUUAUGGGCGUUGCUAGCGCCCGAACGUAUGGUCCGGGGUGCUAGCAUCGGAUGCACGAGCAGCCGUCCGAUCAGGUCCGACACCACUUCAGGAUCUGGCUCAAAAAAAAGUCCCACCGAAACAUUGUUCCAUGUUGCAUAAAAUAUCCCACUAUCCAUUGCUGGGUCUAGAGCAAGCACCAGCUUCCAAUAUGCUGCUCACCCAAGCUAAAUAGGGGCAUUAAAAUUGCAGAAAUAUGUCGCAUAUCCUUCUCAAAUUAAACUAAAUCGCAACAUCCGAAAAUUUCUUACACAAAACCAUGAAACAUAUCGAUUAGAUAGGUGUAACAAGAUGAAAUAUGGUAUGCAACAUAUAGAUUCUGAAAAACAGAUGAAACAUUAUUUAAUGAUUGUUGAAACAGUCGAGAAAAAUAGAUGUAACAUCUAAAAUUAAGAAAAGAAGCUUCAUGCAAAUUGCAAAAAGCUGAAAUAAGUGGUUGAAACAUUUCAAAUCACCAAAUGCCACAUUUGAAAUGACUAGAUGAAACAUCACAAAAUCAAUUGCAACAGUUGAAGAUGAAAACAAUCAAAUGCCUUGCCUUUCUCUAGAUUUGACCCUCAAGCAUGAGUCCAGCCAUUUGCACAUUAGACCCUUGGGAGGAGCUCACCGGAGAACAACAAGACCUUGUUCUCCAACAAUUUUCCGAUCAAAUUGCAACAUAAAAAACAAAGCAUUGCAACAUCUGGCGGUAUCAUGAGCUACAACAUCAACCAGUUAGGAUCAGGAGAAAGAGGGCAAACACAAGCCUAGCAAUGAGUUAUAUCCGGUUUAAACGAGGAUAAAAAUGAGUGUAUUUUCCACUCAUCAUGUUGUCUUUUCGCAGCUGUACCGCCUUUAGUGUGUUGUAUUGUUCCCCUAACACCAAGUCUCCGAGGUCCGUGAAAAUAAGGAAAGUGAUAGCAGCCCAGAAAUCGACCAAGUUUCUUUCCCCCUUUGGCUUUCCUACUAGGAUUCGGAAUCCUCUUUCGCAUGACAAUCUUAAUUAUCUCCCGUAGUCCAAAACUCACAAAAACAUUAAACAUCCUCCGAGAAUAAAUUAAGUAAAAAACAUGCACACACCAAUAAUAAUAAUAAUCUUGUUUCAAAAAAAUUGCUAAGGCCAGAGAUAAUACAAAAACAUAUUAGACUGUUCAUGACACAUAUCACGGUGGACAGUGUUUGUGUCCUUAUUACAAGCAACGAGAGGAAUUAUAUAUGCUUGUCACCACACACACGCGCGCACAGAUGCACGACAUACAUAUAGUUGAGACCAACAGAUGGAUCGACUAGAGGUGGCCCCAUAUGGUGAACAAUUUAUUGGAGAUAAACAUUAACAUAACUUGGCCAUAGCUUGAAGCAUAGCAACAUAUGCGUAUGAAUGGCAUUGAUGCUAUCGUUUUAGGCUUGUCCAGAUAAUAAUAUCUGGUUUUAAGCAUAACAUGGUUUUUACUUAAUUUAUCUGUGCGUGCGAUAAUAAACCAGAUAAUAGCUUGAAACAUGUUGUGCAUUGGCACCACACGCACGAGAAUAAAUUAAGUAAAAAACAUGCACACAUAGAUAAUAAUAAUAAUCAAGUUUCAGUAAAAUUGCUAAGGCCAGAGACAAUACAUAAACAUAUUAGACUAUUCAUGACACAUAUCACGGUGGUCAGUGUCUGUGUCCUUGUUACAAGCAGCGAGAGAUGCUUGUCACCACACGCACGCGUGCACAGAUGCACAACAUACAUAUAGUUGAGGCUGCAAUUUAUAGGCAGCUGCGCUAUGUGAUGAUAUGGACAAGGUGCAAAUGGGUGGUCCUGAUAUGGAUAAGGUGCGAAUGGCUGUCUACUUGUAUUGUGUAGCUCCAAUGUACGUAUGUAUCUUAUACAUGUAUACAGUUGAUGGAUAAGGUAUACAGUCUUUGUUACCAAGUAAUUUUACUUUCGCACGUUUCAGCCGAGAGGCAGAAGAGAAUAUUUUACAGAGAGGGCAGAGAAGGAGGUUGGUAGGGUUCCCCGUGUCGCCAAGAUUUUUGCAUUUUACAUGUGUGUAUAGAUCACUUCGUCGUGCGGCGCCCUACUCCAGGUUGUACCCCAGCAGACCACGUUCUGUUUCUCUGCCUCCACAAGGACCACAAGACUUAGUAAAAAAAGCUAAACUUUGCAACACGAUGUAUACAGAAUUAGUAGCUAGAUCUAUAUAUGAAAUUCAUCCUAAAACUGAUAGGUGGAGAGAAGUAAAAAAUACCAAUUUGAUUUCCUAUCUGAUUAGAGGAAAUAUGGAUGGAUCGGUCGCAAUUAGCGAAGUGGCUCCAAUUGACAUAAAAGGUGUGCAUUGCAUUCAGCAAGAAAAAUUGAGUUUCUACUGAAUCUAUGAAAAAAAAUGAGCUUACGUUAUCAUAUAUAGGCAUAAAUUAAAAUGACAAGAAAUUCCAACCACGGUAUAUAAGACCAAUAAUUGGAAAGAUGGAUGAAAGGAAGAUAGGGUUUAAAUUAAAGUCUCCGCAUAGGCAGUUUGACUAUGAUCAAUUUUACCUGUAUUUCUCAAUAUGUAGAUAAUUCUAUGCCAACAAUUAAAAACUAAUACAUAAUUUGACACGGUGCACCUUGAGAACGUUUUGAAAAUGUACUCUCGUUACGCGUUCACCUCCUUAACAAUAACUGCGACUGUAAAAUAGGUACAUCGACGCUAGCUAAAUAAACAACUAUAAGAUUUAGCAAGAGAUCAUUUUAUACAAUCCUGUAACGAAAGAAUUUGACAAUUAUAUUGUCCAUAUAUUUUGACGAAAAACGUCUAAAUUAUAUAAGGUGGGCCCGAAACAGUUGGAUUAGCAUAUGGUUACCCGUUUGUUGUCUUCCGGCCCUAAAAAAAGGACCAUCUUACUGAAAAAGGUUCUAUUAGCACAAGUAGAGAACUGACUUUCGAUGCACCCCCUUUUAUCCCGGUUUAAAGUAGGCCCGGGAGAAAAGGGGGUGCGCCAUGGUAGGCAAAAAUAGAGGGGAGAUUUACUCCCGGUUGGUAUUUGCAACCGGGACUAAAGGCCACCCUUUUGUCCCGGUUGGAGCCUCCAACCGGGAAAAAAGGGUGGGUGGACCUUUUGUCCCGGUUGGUGUUACCAACCGGGACAAAUAGUUUACUCCCGGUUGGAGGUUCCAACCGGGAGUAAACUUUUAGUCAUUUUGUCGGCCCUUUUGUCCCGGUUGGAGCCUCAAACCGGGAGUAAACUUUCAAUCGGGACAAAAGGUGUUUCUUUUUGUGUCAGUUGGAGUUUCUAACUGGGAUAAAAACUCAUCCCCAUUAUAUACCAAGACAGAGGUCUUUCUUCCUCCUCCAGCCCGAGCCAGUCCACCACAAAGACAGAGAGCUCAGCUUCACCUACUCUCCGGUGGUGCCGAAGCAAGGGAGGUGCUGCCCGAAUUUUUUUACCCUCAUUUUCGUGGGAAUUUCACUCAGCCAACACAAGUGUUGUGAAGGUUUGCUACUUCAUCCUCGUGUUACGCUUUGAUUUAUGCUUUGGAGAUGGAAAGUUUAUUUGCUAGAAUGUGAUGAAGUAGAAAAUGGAGAGGUACUUUAAGCUAGAAUGUGAGGGAGAUUGAUGUGUCAUAUAUAGUAUGUAUUCUUGCAGUGAUUUAAGAAUGAUGCUACCUUGUCUAGACGGUUUAUCUUAUCAAAUUCAAUAUGGUUUUUCAAAUUCAUACUUAUUGAACUUGCAUACCGUGUUCAUGUCGGCGAGAAUGUUCUACGAGAAAGAGUGGAUACGGACAUCGUGACCGUAUCCCCUUUUUCGUAGAAUCGAACCUCUUUCAUGACGAAGUGCGAUGCCGCCCAGUUGAGAACAUGCUCGCCAGAUGAUCACGGUCUUCAAGUUCAACAAGUUCUGUAGGCAUACCGUGAUCAUCUCGGUAAGCAUGUUCUCCGUGGAGCAGCAACGGACGUCAAGGAGGAGGUUCGAUUUUACGAGAAAGAGAGGCAACAGACAUCGUGGAUGACUGUGUCCCCUUUCUCGUAAAAUCGAACCUCUUCCAUGACGAAGUAUGGUGCCGCUCAGUUGAGAACAUGCUCACCGAGAUGAUCACGAUCUUCAAGUUCAACAAGUUCACCGCUAAGGUAAGAAUUUUUGUACAUAGAUGGCUUCUGCUACUGGAGGAAGUGGCGAUGGUGGGGGCGAUCGUCGUUCCUCUUUCGGCAAGGGGAAAAUCAUAGUUGGCCCUCAGGAUAAGCCGAAGAAAAUGAGCGCGUUGGAGAAAGCAAUGCUUCGUUAUUUGCAGAAACGUCAUGAAGAAGCUGUUGCCGCGGGUCAGGAACCUCCUUUUGGUUGUCGUUAUGCUCCACCCUCAGUCCCGGGUGUUUCACGUCCACUUAGUACUACCAUUUCAGGUGGCACAAAUAAACCACAGGAUGAGGCUGGGUCAGCGGAACCUUCAUCUUCACCGCCCAAGGAUGCUUAAAGUCCUCCUAGAUAAUAACCAGUGGAUGGCUUGUUGUAUUGUAUCAUGUUGUUUGGAUAUUUAAUUUAAAUAUGUGUAUUUGUAUCUAUAUCUAAACUUUCAGCAUUAUUUGCACUACAACGUUUGACAUGCUUUCAAUCAUGAAUCCAUUUUCAAGUGUAAUCAAUUUUCACGCGUAAUCCAUUUUCAAGUGUAAUCAAUUUUCACGCGUAAUCCAUUUUCAAGUGUAAUCAAUUUUCAUGUGUAAUCCAUUUUCAAGUGUAAUCAAUUUUCACGCGUAAUCCAUUUUCAAGUGUAAUCCAUUUUCAUGCGUAAUACGAUGCAGAUGGACCGGCAAUGGAUGUAUAAUGCAGACAGACGGAGCAAGGUGUUUAUUGAUGGCUUGCAUUAUUUUCUCGAAGUGGCCAAAGCGAACAAGCCAGAGAAUGGGAUCGUAUGUUGUCCAUGCUUCCAAUGCAAUAACAAGAAGGACUAUUCAAAGGAUUCCUGGGGGACUAUUCACAGCCACUUGUUUAGAUACGGUUUCAUGCCUAACUAUUUGGUUUGGACCAAGCACGGUGAAAGAGGGGUUGUAAUGGAAGAUGGUGAGGAGGAGGAGGAGGAUGGCAACAUUCCGGACUAGGUUGCAGGCCAAGCUUUUGCAGAUACUACAAUGGGCGAGGCUGAUGAAGAUGAGUUUGCAGAAAAUGGCCCUACGAUGACCUUGGUCAGGUGCUACGAGAUGCACACAGAGAUUGCGAAACUGAGAAGGAAGCAGCAAAGUUGCAACGCAUGAUAGAUGAUCACCAAAAAUUGUUGUACCCAGAUUGCCAGCAGGGCCAUAAAAAACUAGGUACGACACUAUAAUUUGUGCAAUGGAAGGCAAAAAAUGCUGUGUCCGAUAAGGCAUUUCAGGGGAUGUUGAACAUUGUCUAGAAGAUCAGGCGAGAUGAUCCUGGUGAUGUCGAGGGGCAGUCUCCCAAGAAGAGAGUUCCCGCGAAGGUGAUGUGGUAUUUCCCUAUAAUACCACGCUUGAAGCGCUUGUUCAGGAACAAGGCAAAUGCUAAGUUGAUGCGAUGGCACAAAGAAGAACAUAUGGAAGAUGAGAUGCUGAGACACCCCGCAGAUGGGGCCCAGUGGAGAUCAAUUAAUAGAGCAUUCCCGAACUUUGAAAGUGAAGCAAGGAACAUAAGGUUUGGUUUAAGUAUUGAUGGAUUCAAUCCAUUCGGUGAGUUGAGUAGUGGCUAUAGUACUUGGCCUGUGACCCUAUGUAUGUUCAACCUUCCUCCUUGGCUGUGCAUGAAGCGGAAGUUCAUUAUGAUGCCGGCGCUUAUCCAAGGCCCAAAACAACCCGGCAAGGGAUAUGGAACAGAGGAGUUGAUCGAGUUUUGUGUUGAUUUUAUUGACUCAAUUGACUCGAUUGGGGUUCCAACUUCACGCCACGAGGGGAGGCUCCGGGGAAUGGGCACCCUUGGAAGGAAAUCAAGUUUGAGCAAUGAUACUGAUUUGUUCGACAAGGCACACUACACUGUUCUGCAAUAGUCAUCCUUUGUGUCUCCCUAUAUCGAGCAGCACAGGCAGAUGGUAGUUUUCCAAAAACCUGACGAAAUCCGAUGCUUGGCUUACACAUCAUCACAUGGAAACUUUUUCCUCCUGGUUGCGCCAACAACUCAUGGGUAACUCUGAGAUUUACCUACAGCUCGCUUGGUUAGCCAGGGGACCUGCUAGCACAAUCGUGAAAUUUCAAGACUAUGAGAUAAAUGGUUAUACAUUUUACACGAGAGCCUAGGACCAGAAAAGCACGAACCAGAAUAGUGGUGUCCGCAUAGAUGCCAUAGAUAGAAAUAAUAACAAGGAGUCGUAUUAUGGUUUCAUACAGGAGAUAUGGGAACUCGAAUACGGACCGCUGUACAUCCCUGUAUUUCUUUGCAAUUGGGUGAAGCUAACUGCCGUAACCAAAGAUCAGUACGGAAUGACAAUAGUAGAUCUGAGCAAGACUGGAUACAGUGAUGACCCAUUCGUACUUGCGAAUGAUGUGCAUCAGGUUUUCUAUGUGAAGGACAUGUCUAGCAAACCCAAGAGAAAUCCAGAAGAGACAUGGGAGCCAAAGUGCCACAUAGUUCUUCCAGGUAAAAGAAAAUCAUUGGAGUCGAGGAUAAAAUAGACGAAUCAGAUGAUUAUGAUCAGUUUGAUGGCAUGCCUCCAUUCGCAGUUGAAGUUGACCCAAGCAUCCUGGUAUCCAAAGAAGAGGCUCCAUACUUACGCCGCGAUCAUGAUCAAGGAACUUUCGUGAAGAAGAAAUUUUACAACGUUGUAUUGUAAUGCGCUAAAUUUACUUGACCUUUGUGAAGUACUUGAUACAAUUUUUAAUUUAACCUAUGUAUGAUUUCAUGUGUUCUUAAAUUUGUUGAGGUGAAGAUUUAUUAGAUAAACAUGAACAAUGUUAACCACACACAUACAUGGAUUAUUUUUGCGCGUUGAAAUUAUUUAAUUGAAUAAUUUCUCGAUCAUUGCGAUGCAGUAAAAUAAUUAUUUUAGAGGCUAAACGAACUGGUAUAGAAUUAAUGACUAAUUCACACUUAUUGUCAAUAUACUUGCUAAUUAAAUAUAUUUUUGCAUAUUCAAAAUAUGUGAAUUUUUUUGUUUUUGCAUCCUGAAAUGCAGUGAAAACAUACAUAAAAUCCUUUUCCAAAAAAUAGGCGGGAGAUGAAAGUGUGGGAAAAGGCACUUUUGUCCCGGGUGCCAAUAGAAACCGGGACAAAAGGACCUUUUAUCCCUGUUGCCAAAAGCAACCGGGAUCAAAGGCCGUCCCUUUUGUCUCGGGUGCCAACGCCAACCGGGACAAAAGGCCCCCUUUUUAUCCCGGUUGACAACUACAACCGGGAUAAAAGGGUAGUUUUCGUUUCCCGCUGGGGACGUACCCUUUUAUCCAGGUUACAGUUAGCAACCGGGAUAAAAGGGGGGGCCCUUUUGUCCCGGUUGGUGUUGGCACCCGGGAUAAAAGGGCCUUUAGUCCCGGGUUCAAUUACGAACCGCGAUAAAAGGGGGGAGGGAUAAAAGGCACUGUAGCCUCUUCUACCACCACCCCACGCUAGUUACGACACUUAGCCAAAUUUUCACCGCUGCCAAGAUCCCGCGCCCUUCCGCCAGCUCCGUCACCGCCCAUCCGCCUCCCUCGCCGGCCGCCGUCGUCCUCGUCGUCCAUCGCCCCGGCCAUCAUCGUCCCGCCGCCCGACCGCCUCGCCCGCGCCCAGACCACCUCCUCCUCCAUCGCCCCGGCCCGCCUCCGAUCCUCCUCCGUCGUGCCCCCUCGACCUCGUCGCAGCCGGCCGCCUCCAUCGCGGGGCCUCGUCCCCGCCUCAGUCAACGCCACAUUCUCUGUCGCCGCCUCAUCACCGCCUCUGUCGCGCGCGCCGCCUCCGUCCCUCGUCGCCGUCCGCCUCCGCCCGUUGUUGCUGUGGCCACCUCGCUCCGUCCCCGCCUCCGCCGUCCCACCGCCCCGGCCGCCGCCGUCCCGCCGUCCCGGCCAUCUCGUCGCCCAGCUAGGCACCGCGUGAGGUCCGCCGGCACUGGCACCGGGAAUGAACAGCUCUUGCUGACGCAAACCCACCGGCUUGCGUAAGCAAGGACCUUUUUUAUUUUUUAGUUAGAAAAUGAAUAGAUAUUAGUAGAUUAGUUAGAAAAUCAAUAGAUAUUUGUAGAUUAGUUAGAAAAUCAAUAGAAAAUCAGUUGAUAAAUUUUGUAGAAAUUCAUUCAAAUUAGUAGGAAUUAGUUGUAAUUUGCUAGAAAUUCCAAUAAAUAUGUUGAAAUUAGUAGAAAUUUGGUAGAAAUUCUUACAAAGUACUACUAAUUUGUUGAAAUUUGUAUAAACAUUCCGAACUUUGUGGGAUUCAUGUUAUUGUAAAAUUAUUAGGCAUUAGUAGAAAUUUUGUAGAAAUUCCAAUAAAUAUGUAGAAAUUAGUAGAAAUUUUGUAGAAAUUCAUACAAAGUACUACUAAUUUGUUGAAAUUUGUAUAAACAUCUUGGAUCAGCGCUUGGUUUGUUGAAAUUUGUAUAAACAUCUCGGAUCAGCGCUUGGGUUGUGUAAGUGUCCGUUUAUCUACAUGUAAAUUUUGCCUCAUAUCAUUAUUUUUUUUGCGUGCGUCACCGUACUAACUUCGUCUUCCAUUUUAUGUAGCAUGCUAAUUCAGACGUGCCGACGAGAGGCGUACCUACAUAUUGGCUUCAUGGGUCCAUCCGUAGUUAACCAAAAACAGAUACAAUUAUCGCCGGAAAAAACCUUGGUGGAAGUAUACAAUUUCCUAGACAAACAAAAAUUCAAGGAUUUCAUACUACUUCCAUACAACUUCAGGUAAGUGUGUGUAUACCGUCUACUUUCGUUGUCUUUUUCCUUACCUGAUUAAUUAGUUAGCUCUAAUAUGCAUGAACAUUUUACGUACGCAGCUUCCACUGGAUCCUUAUUAUAAUUGAGCUUGAAAGAAGCCACGUCACUGUCUUCGAUUCGUUGAGGAAAGAUCCGGUGGAGUACCAAGACAUGCAAGACAUGCUAGGCUUGUAAUAAUUUUGGACCUUUAUCUCUAUGCAAAAGUUUGUUUCCUAAAUUUUAUCCCUGUUACACUAUAUCAUUCAUUAUUCUAAUCCGCAGCGCAUGGAAACAAUUCAUAAGGACACACAAAGGUCCAUUCAAAGAAAAACUUACAUGGAACACAGACUUCCUGGUACGUAUGAAGUCUGCACAUUUAGUACAUUGUAUAACACGAAUAUUUCAUAACUUAUUUUUUUCGACACUGAAGUGCUUAAGACAGGAACUCGGGAAUAAUCUAUGUGGCUACUACAUCUGUGAGCACAUGCACAUUUUUAUGGGACCCAAGGGACUAAAGAUGACGCCGCACAACUUUAAAGUACGUAAAAUAAAACUAUUACUAGUUAAUUAUUUUCUAGCUCCUUAUAUUUAAUUGUUCGUGUAACAUUCACAAAUUUCCAAAUUAUAGAUGUUAAAUAUUCAACAAGGACUCUUGAAGAAAAAAAAGGGUAGCGGCAAUAUGUGAAGGUCUCGUUGGAUUCCUAAUGGACGAGGUGGUAAAUCCACAGGGAGAAUUUUAUUACGAUGGACGACAAUUAGACGCUCCGAGCAACACCUCGACGGGAAGAUUGUAGAUAUAUAGUUUGAUUUGUAUACAUAACACGCGCUAAGAUCGAUUUGUAUAUAUAGGUGAUUUCAUUAUACUAGUUGAAUUGUGUAUAUGAAUUGCGUAUAUAUAGUAAUUGUAUAAUUACAAAUUUCAUUCGUUUAAAUACUAGUUGAUUUCAUUAUAAAAAAAGUCUCAACUACUAAAGGUUAACAAAAGGGCCGCGGUACUACGUACGUGAUGCAUGAAAAUUUAAGAUGCCAUGCAGGAAAAUUUAAAUAGGACUUUAGUCCCGGUUGGGAAACCCAACCGGGACUAAAGGGGCACCCUUUACUCCCGGUUGCUUUUCCCAACCGGGAGUAAAGGGCCUGUCCCGCGCCAACCGGGACUAAAGGGUGACCUUUACUCCCGGUUGAAGGACCCGGGACUAAAGACCCCCCCUUUUGUCCCGGUUGGUUUAUCCCGGAUGGAUUUUCGAGAGAUAUGCACCCUACCAACCGGGACUAAAGGCGAGUUCUCUACUAGUGUAGGCCAUGCAGCCGGCUCUGUGGUACCAAAAAGAAAUUUUUGACAUGGUUUACAUCGAGAACGUUUUGAAACUAGACUUUGGUACGCAGUUCACCUUCUUAACAAUAACGGCGUACAUAGACGCUAUCUAAAUUGACCACUUUAAGAUUUAGCGAGAGAUCUAUUUUUUUAAUCCCGUAGCGAGAUCUAUUUUUAUAAUCGCGUAGCGACUGUACGAAGGACUGAAAAAUAAGUUUGAUUACCGUAUAUAGUUAGCCAACUCGUUAAUGGAAUAAACGAUAGAGUUCUGCGAGGCAGACUAGCCUUUCACACGCACCAACUGAACCAGCUGGCAUGAUGUAUUUGAUCUUACUCCCUUGGUCCCAUGGAAAGGUAGAAAUAACCAUAUAUAGGCAUGUAAUUAUCAGUUAUACUUAUGGGAUACUUAGAUGACUUGAUGUAUGAAUCAAGAAAAUGCAUCGAUCGAGAACUUACGGGGAUCAUCUCAAUAAUUUAGAGACCAUGCGCAUAUAUAUUGUGGAAGGUGUGCGUGAGGGUCGUUAUCUAUAUCCUGUGUUAGAAAAAGAUUGCAUAUAUAGUUAAUGUUUGUCUUUCUUCGGAUGGCACGUUAGCUGACCAUUGACAACAUGUGAUGAUUUUACUAACAUCAAAAUUAGGCAUGCCCCAUUUUUUAAUUGGUGCAUGGAGUGGGAGGUUUUGGUGGGUGAGCAUUGGUGUGCAACUCGUGUGCGUGAGCAUGUGUGCGUAAGAUAAUGUGUUUUGUUAGAAAAAGAAGAUAAUGCCUCUAAACAAUCCAGAAUAGAAGGCGGGCCCUGACGACAAGAUAAUACCUUACGCGGCGAUGUCUCAACGUGUCACCUGGGGCGGCUUUUGCAGUUUCCCCGUACACACACUAAGAGCCUCCGACCCUUUUUUGUCAAACCUUCUCUUGUAGUCAUGCAUAUAUCCAUGAUGAUUUGAGUCUACUGAUUGACAGUUAGAUAUUUUGCUUGUUUGUGAGAAUUUUUAGUUUCUAUUUUUUUAGAGUGUCCACCUAGGAUCCUAGGUGGCUUCACCUGAAAGCUUCAAAAGAAGCGUCCAAAUUAGUAAUCAUAAGAUUUUCUCAAAAGAGACUUAAUUCUACCACUAUACCUUGAUUGGCGGCCCGAGCCUCUACCUUUGUCUCCACUUGACUAUUUGAGUUGGCUCAGAACGGUUCACCGCGCUAGCAACGUUACGUUUGAUCCCAAUGCCACCACUCAUGUGCGCCACCUGUAUUCUACCAAGUGGCAUGUGGUAAUGCCAUGUUUGUUUUAAUUUCGUCCAUCAGCAUUCACAAUGAUAUCAUCACCAUUAUGUAAUUAUCCCACUUUUAAUUUUCUUGCAACUCUGUGAAGUUAACAGUCUCUGAUCAAGUUUCCGAGGAUUGCUAUAUCUUUGUUUAUUAUCUACGGAAGUUGACAGCACAUCCACCAUAAUUCAUGGCCCACCAGACUCUAAGUCCACUGCGAGUAUAUAUUAAUUUGUUUUAAUCCGACUAUACUAGAUGUGUACCAAUCAUUCGAUAUGAGGGACGAACUAAUUGUUUCUUGUCGACUAUUGCACCGUACCUCUCGUUUUCCAAACAAUUAAAAGGUACCCUUCCGUGAUGGUUGUACCGAUACCGACUAUCUAUAUUAUUGCUUUCUUGAGCAUACCAAACGAGUUAAUUGGUAUGAUGAUGUUAUAGCUCAUUUAUAUAUGCUUAAAUACAUACACCGGUAGAAAACUCGCCUUUAGUCUCGGUUGGUACGUGUUAGACACCUAAUCCUUGCAUUGAUGGCUAAUCCUUCCAGCUUUUGUCUUCACGCACGCAUGCAUUGAUAGCCUCCUGCGGAUGGCCUUUCAGCUACUGCGCCGUUCAACUUCUGUGGCCUGUCCGGCUUCUUCCUUUCCCCAUAUAAUGUAAUACGUUCAACUCAAAUGAAUGAAAUCAAAUUAUGCGUGUAUUAUUCUCGCUUUCAGUAGGGGCCAAAUCUCCCGAAAAUCCAUCCGGGAUAAAGAUGAGAAAUUAAUCCAUGCGUGGCUUCAUGCAAAUUUGUUCAGAUCAGGUUUGAACAGCAUGUAAUCUUUUUCAGGCAUCUAUAUGGAGCGUGGGGGUGUUAUGUUAUCUUCUACUACACAUAUAACAUUAAAUUCAUUCAGUUUGGCUGAGAGCCCAAAAUGCAACGAAUAUGCCAUCCAACGUGAAAAAAAGAUGUGGAACAGUAUACUCUAUCUUCGAAAUUAAUUAACGAGAUUCAGCUUCAAAAGAGAUAAGAGCAGACAAGAGGCACAUGGGUGCAUGCAUCCACACCUUGGGAUGCUGCAAAAUUUGGGAUCACGUGUGCGGAUCCCUAAUUAGGAAAAAAGAAUAAUUGUGCUAGCAAAAUGUGGAACACGACUGCCGGCCCAGUUGGCGCUAAGACAUCGUACGUGCAUUAAGUCUGAGGUGCCCAACGAUCUCUUUCUUUAACUCAUGCUUGACUGUGACGGUGCUAUUAUAUAAUAUUGCAUGAUCAUCAUGAUAAGAUCGUAUAGUGACUGAGUGAGACAUGUACUAUAACUUACAUUUAAGCCUCGAACUGUGUGUCGUUACGUGAGCUGCCUCCUCUCCUCGCCUCUGAAUUAUUGAACCGUUUCCAACAGUGUUGGUCUCGACGAAAUUUGACACCAACCAGAUUUAUGAAGAAAAGAGAAUAAUACUUGGAAUUGGGAAAAGUUGAUCUCUCUUUACAAUGGGUAGGUGCUCCCCUUUUAUAGUGACCCAUGAGCCACUUUACAUUCCGAAAAUAUCCUUUCUCAACCACUACAUUCCUAGGAUAUGCCGUACAAAUUGAACUCUUCCACGUGGUCACAUUUCUCACGCCUCCUGUUUUCCAACCUCGAGACUUCAUCUUCACGCCAAGUUGAUCAUCUAGCCUCGAGGCUCCAUCCACGAUCCGGAAUGAAGGUCCAGCCUCGAGGCUCCUGCUUGUUAGAAGAACCGUCGUAUGAGACGAGGAUUGUAUCUUAGAGAUAAGAGUUGUUAUGGUUUGAGUUGGCCGGCUAGUAGAUAGAGAUAGAAUCUUGAUGUAUUUGAAUGCUGGCUAAACUUUAUCUAUAACAACAUGCAUUGUAAUCUGUUGGGACUUUCCCCCUAUAUAAACAUGCAACCACGGCGAGCCAAGAUAGGGCAACCGUGUUCAACUCUUUUGACAUGGUAAUCAGAGCCCUUCUUCCAUAAAAUACAUCUACAUCUACACCACCUGGCGCACGCCACCUUGUUGCCUGGCACACGUCAUCACCUUGCAUGCAACAGUCAUGGUGUCAUCAUCGUCAUCGUCAGCCACUGCACCCACGGCGGCGCAGCUUGGAGCUCCUGUAGCUGAAAAGCUUACAGGGGAGAAUUAUGUCUUAUGGAGGGCUCAAUUCUUGCCUGCUGUGCGGGGCGCGCAGCUCAUGGGAGUCCUCAACGGAUCUGUCAAGGAGCCCGGCCAAGACCAUGGAACUGGUGAAGGCUGACGGCAAGAAAGGGUAGCAUGACUUCAUCAACUUACUACACCAAGAUGGUGGCUAUCAAAGAUGAGUUGGCGGCAGUAGAAGUCAUUAUUGACGAUGGUGAGAUGGCAUCUUACAUACUUAAUGGUCUUGAUUUCGAAUAUAAUCCGUUUGUGUCCUCGAUGCUUGGCUGUGCUGAUUCCCUCUCUCUUUCCGAUCUAUACUCUCAUCUGUUGUUUUAUGAGAUGCGCCUGGAAGCAUAUAAUGAAGCGGGACAAUAUACAUCUUGGGCAAACUCAUCUUCUCGUGGAGGAUUUCGGGGACACGGCAAUGGCGGUCGUGGCAAUGGAGGGCGCAAUUGAGGGCGCACCAACGGUGGCCGUGGCCAGAACCGUGGUGGCCAGAACAACAGCAACAGUAGCAGUCAGCCCAAGAAAGUAAUCUGUCAAAUCUGCAAGAAUGUAUGUCCAUGAAGCACCAAGAUUCUGGUAUAGAUACGACGAAGAUGAGCAAGAAAAGGUUGCCGGCACAACAGCUACAAGCUAUGGUUAUGAUACUAACUGGUAUACAGACAGUGGCGCAACCGACCACAUUACUGGCGAGCUUGACAAGUUGACCGUCAAGGACAAGUAUAAUGGUCGAGAUCAAGUACAGGCUGCUAACGGUCCAGGUAUGAAAAUUAGUAAUAUUGAUCAUUCAACUUUACAUAUGCUGGGUAGAAAAUUGCAUCUAAACAAUAUCCUUCAUGUUCCUAUUGCUCACAAAAAUCUUGUUUCCAUCCAUAAAUUAGCUUCCGAUAACAAUGCCUUCCAUGAAUUUCAUCCAAAAUUCUUUUUCAUUAAGGCCCUAUUUGGCAUGGCUCCAACUCUAGGUGGAGCUACUCUACUCCAAAAAUCCAGGUGGAGCCAGCUUUGGGUGGAGUUGGAACUGUCUAGAUGGGGUGUUUGGCUAGAAGAGUGCAUCAGCUCCAAAAAAGACCGAUCUCAGUGUGGAUUGCCAUUGUUGCCCCAAAUUCAAGCCCCACUUUUCAUCCUCUAUAUCCCCAUCUUCUUCUUCCUCAGAAGGCGUGGAUGCAUGGAGAGAAAUCAAAUCGACUCGGCAUUAGAGCGGCGAGAUUUGGACGCGAUCGAUCAAAAUCAAUCGAUUAAAAAAAAAUCUCUCACCGCCACCAGGCUUGGGCGGCGCUGCGAAUGAUAGAGUGGCCGAGGCCACGGGCGCUGGGGAGUACGCGGCAGGCGCCUGCACCAUCGGCAGCAGCGUCAUGUUGGACACCUUGGCCGGCGCGUCCGGGUCCUCCGCGUCAGCAUCGUCAUUCUUGCCGGCUGCCGUCACCGCAUGCCGAUGCCCCAGCCUCUCAGCACCGACACGUCGUCGACUCCACUUCCUGGAAUGCCAUGCCCCCGGCCACGAUCGCCGCGCGCCAAAGUGAUCGUGGCUUUUCUAACAACCAUAUCGUAAUCAUAGGAUCUUCUCAGCGCAAAACUGUGCAGCUCCUUGCCUUUCUUUAGCAGAGCAAGUCCUGCACAAGCCCGCAGCAAGACCAACAUGCACUACUAGAGAAUUGACUUUCAAUCCCCCCCUUUUAGUCUCAAUUUAAUGUAGGCCCGAGAGAAAAGGGGGUGCGCUACGGUAGGCUGGAAUGGGGCGCACCUUUAGUCCCGGUUCAUGUUUAAAACCGGUACUAAAGCCCCCCUUUUGUCCUGAUUUGAGCGGCUAGAUUUUUGCCACCGACAGUGCCCCCCCUUUUGUCCCGGUUGGAGCCACCAACUGGGACAAAAACCUCGCCCUUUUUUUCUGGUUGGCAUUACCAACCGGGAUAAAAAGUUUACUCCUGGUUGGUAACUCAAACCGGGACAAAAGGUUGGCAUUUUCAUCCCGGUUGGAGCCACCAACCGGGAGUAAACACGAACCGGGACAAAAGAGCCAUACUUUUGUCCCGGUUUGGUUUACCAACCGGGAGAAAAUCUUUUCCCCCUUAAAGCUGCUUUCUUCCUCCUCCACUCGUCCAGCCCGAGCCACUCCACUCCACAAAGAUAGAGAAGCUCCAUCCUCUCCAUGGCGCCGAAGCAAGCCUAGGGGAGGUGCUGCCGAAUUUUUUUUCCUCAUUUUGUUGGGGACUUCACUCAUCCAAAGUGUUGUGAAGGUUAGCUACUUCAUUCUCUAUUCAUUUAUUAUUGUUAUGCUUUGUUUUAUACUUUAGAGUGGGAGAAGAAUGAGUUUGCUUGUUAGAAAGAGGGAGAAUGGAGAGGAUUUGUAUUUAUACAUGUUUUUGAGAUACAAUGUGAUGGAUAAUUUGAAUGUGAGGGAGAAUGGAGAGUAAAUGUGAGGUAGAAUGGAGAGGAUUUCAAUUUUAAGUAUUCGGAAAAACUAGAGUAAAUGUGUUUUUAAUCUUUAUACAUUAGCCAUAAAAUUAAGGUAAAUAAAUUGUAGGUGUAAUUUCAUAGUUUAGUACUUUUUAGAUAGAGUUAUGUAAUUAGCCAUUUUUAGAAUAUGUAAAUUAUGUGGGAAAUAUUGAAUUUUUUUAAUAGUUUAGUUAUUUGCAAAUAUGAGCUAAAUAAUUUGUGGUACAUAGAGAUGGCUUCUGCUGCUGGAGGUAGUGGCGAUGGUGGGGGAGAUCUUCAUUCCUCUUGCGGCAAGGGGAAAACUGUAGUUGGCCCUCACGAUAAGCCGAAGAAAAUGAGCGCGUGGGAGAAAGCAGUGCUUCGUUAUUUGCGAAGAUGUCAUGAAGAUGCUAUUGCGGCGGGUCAGGAACCUCCUUUUGGUGGUCGUUAUGCUCCACCGCCAUUCCCGGGUGUUUUAGGUCCACUUAUUAGUACUACUGUUGCAGGAGGUAUAGAUAAACCAUAUGAUAAGGCUGCGUCAGCGAAACCUUCAUCUUCGCCGCCCAAGGAUGCUUGAAAUCCUUCUAGAUAGUACUAAGUGGAUGGUUUGUCGUAGUGUAUCAUGUUGUUGUUGCUCUCAAAUUUAAAUUUGUGUAUUUCUACGUAAACUUUCAGCAACAUUUGAGUUUGUUGUAGUGUAUCAUGUUGUUUGGGUCUGAAAUUUUAAUGUGUAUUUCUAUCUAAAAUUUCAGCAAUGUGAUGGAUAGUUUGAUUGUAAUCCAUUUUAUUGACGGCUUGCGUAAUACGAUGCAGAUGGACCGGCAAUGGAUGUAUAAUGCAGACAGACGAACCAAGGUGUUUAUUGAUGGCUUGCAUAAUUUUCUCGAAGUGGCCAAAGCGAACAAGCUAGAGAACGGGUUCAUAUGUUGUCCAUGCACCCAAUGCGGUAACAACAAGGACUAUUCAAAGGCUGUCUAGGGGACUAUUCCCAGCCACUUGUUUAGAUACGGUUUCACACCUAACUAUUUGGUUUGGACCAAGCACGGUGAAAGAGGGGUUGUAAUGGAAGACGACGAAGAGGAGGAGGAUGAUGACAACAUUCCGGACUGGGGUGCAGGUCAAGCUUUUGCAGAUACUACAAUGGGCGAGGCUGAUGAAGAUGAGUUUGCAAAAGAUGGCCCUACUGAUGACCUCGGUCAGGUGCUAAGGGAUGCACCCAGAGAUUGCGAAACUGACAAGAAAGAAGCAAAGUUGCAGCGCGUGAUAGAUGAUCACCUAAAAUUGUUGUACGCAGAUUGCCAACAGGACCAUAAAAAACUGGGUACCACACUAGAAUUUAUGCAAUGGAAGGCUAAAAAUGGUGUGUCCCAUAAAGCAUUUUAGGGGAUGUUGGAAAUUGUCAAGAAGAUUUUUCCCGAGAAUAAUGAAUUGCCAUCCACAACAUAUGAAGCUAAACGGAUUGUUUUCCCUCUUUGAUUGGAGGUUCAGAAGAUACAUGCAUGCCCUAAUGAUUGUAUCCUCUAUCGCAGUGCUGAAUAUGAGGAUCUGGAUGCUUGCCCUGUGUGCGAAGCACUGUGGUAUAAGAUCAGGCGAGAUGAUCCUGGUAAUGUCGAGGGGCAACAUCCCAGGAAGAGAGUUGCCACGAAAGUGCUAUGGUAUUUCCCAGGAAGAGAGUUCCCACAUUUUGUACAAUAUUCUAUAUCACGAAUAUUUCAUAACUUGUUUGUUUCCCCACUGAAGUGCUUAAGACAGGAACACGGGAACGAUCUAUGUGGCUACUAUGUCUGUGAAAACAUGGAAAGUUUUGUAGACUUGGUCACAUACACUUGGUCCCACCCGUGAUACGAGCAGCCCAACAGCACAGUGUUCCAUGUCAGCAAGCUGGGCUCUAGCCCCGAUCUUGCCAUGCGCUUCGCGAGCUCCAGUGCGUUGUCGACAAGCCUGAGCCGCGUGCAGCACAUGAGCACCGCGUUCCACAUGACCGCCGUGGCCUCCGUCGUCUCAGCACCCAUGUGGCCACAGCGACGUCCGCGUUCUCGACGUACAUGGUGGCGAGGAACCCAGGAACGAGCGGGUGCGCGUCUACGUGGUGGGGAGCGUGGCAGUGGCAGCUUUGCUCGAUCUGGCAGCCGGAGAGUGGGACGAGACCACCACGGGGGAGACGGUCGGUGGUGGUGGCGGUGGCAAUGGGAGGAAGGCCUUGGAGAUCAAGGGAUCCAAGGUCCCCUUCCAAGAGAGAAGGGAGAUCGGGGGAGGAGACCGAUGGAGGGGAGGCGGGAGGGAGGAUGGUCGGCAGCGGGGGUAAGGAGAAAGAACAGGCGCGCGGGAGGGAGUCACGGUGCCGGAGACUCGGGAGAAAAGAAGCGAAUCAUUUUUGUGUAACUAGUGGUAUUGGUAGGUAAUUACCCACCAACUCCACGAGGAGGUUCAUAUUGGGUAGUUUUGGAGUUGCAAAAGAGGUGCUCCAAAACUCCACCCCCAUUUGCACUACAGCUCCAUGGAGUUUUGGAGUUGGGGUGUGUUGGCUGUAAAAUUGGCUAGAGUUGCUGGAGGUCAGCUCCAGAGCCAUGCCAAACACGCCCUAAGGAUCAGGAAACGAGGAAAAUCCUUCAUCAAGGUAGAUGCAAAGCAGGCCUUUAUCCAUUAGAAUCCAUCUUGUCAGAAGAAGGCGAUGACAAGAGAGUUUAUGGUGCCAUCAAACCAUCUGCUUCUAGAUGGCAUAGCCGCUUAGGCCAUCCAGCUUAUCCUAUUAUUCAGCGUGUGCUUAAUCAUAAUAAUCUUCCUUGUGGUAGUACUAAUUUUGAGUCAGUUUGUGAUUCAUGUCAAAUGGCUAAAAGCCAUCAACUUCCAUAUUCUAGUUCAAUAAAUUCGUCAAAAGCUUCGCUUGAUCUUAUUCAUUCUGAUGUUUGGGGGCUUACACCUAAUUCUGUUGGUCGAUAUUCCUACUAUGUGAGCUUUAUUGAUGAUUAUAGUAGGUUCACCUAGAUUUAUCUCCCGAAAAAGAAAUUUGAUGUCUUUCAAGUGUUCAAAGAAUUUCAGAAUCUAGUGGAGCGAAAACACAAUAAGAAAACUGUAUCCAUGCAAACCAACUGGGGAGGCGAAUAUGAGAAGUUGAAUUCCUUCUUUCAGCAAAUUGGUAUAGCACAUCGCGUCUUAUGUCCUCAUGCCCACCAGCAAAAUGGCCUCGUCGAGAGAAAGCAUCGUCAUACUGUUGAAGUUGGUCUCGCUCUUCUCGCAAAUGCUUCAAUGCCUUUAAAAUUUUGGGAUCAAGCUUUUUUGACCGCCACUUAUCUCAUUAAUAUGCUUCCCAGUAAAAUUCUUAAUUUCGAUACUCCUAUAGAACACUUGCUCCAAGAAAAGCCUGAUUACAGCUCUCGUCGCAUUUUUGGGUGCGCUUGUUGGCCUAAUUUGCAACCCUAUAAUACUCGCAAGCUAGCUUUUCGUUCUGUUAAAUGCACCUUUCCUAGUUACAGUUUCAUGCAUAAAGGCUUCAAGUGCUUAGAUCCCUCUACCGGCAGAAUUUAUAUCUCCCGAGAUGUUGUUUUCGAUGAAUCGAUCUUUCCGUUUGCUCACUUACAUCCCAAUGCAGGCGCCCUUCUCAGUAAAGAGAUUCUUCUUUUACCUGACCAUCUUCGUAAUCCGGGGGAUGUAAGUUGCAUAGACAAUAUUACUAUACUACUGACCGUUUGCAUGAUAGUAAUGCGCAAGAUGUUUUUCAGGGGAAACUGUCACCGGGCUGGGCGCACGGUGACGCAGAAAAUCACGGCGGCACAUUCCAGGAGGAUUUGAUGCCAGGUGCCGACGGUCCAGGCGUUGACUCCCAGGGAGAUUCGGCGGCAGCAUCCGUUUUGCUCCCCUCCUUCCCAGCAGUGCCCAUGUCGUCGAAUACAUCUCCGACGCGUGGCUCCACGACAUGCCCAGCGCCCGCACCCGGCGCUCCUCCGUCGCCGCAUGGCCCCGCACUUGGCCAAUCGCCUGCGCCAGCCGCCGGGAGUCCGACGCGUGGGGGGGGACCCAUCUAUCACGCCAGACAGUCUCCCACCCGUGCCUGCUGCCCCGAGUCGUGCUAGCGCUGGAUCCUCUUCGGGAAGCGGAUCCGGUGUGGAAUCUAUGCCUGGUCAGGCCAGUUCUUUGGCGCUGGCUGCCCCUGCGCCGUCUAUUUCAGUGCCAAGACAACGGACACGGCUUCAAAGUGGGAUUACGAAACUUACAUAGUUCCAGGACAUGAUCAGGUAUGGGUUGUUCUUAGCUUCUGCGGAACCACAGGAUUUUCAUGAAACUCUAAAUGAUUAUAGAUGGAAAAAAGGCUAUGCAAGAUGAAUUUGAUGCUCUCAUUAGAAAUCAAACUUGGCACUUAGUUCCUGAAAUAAAGGGUAACAAUAUUAUUGAUUGCAAGUGGGUAUUCAAAAUCAAGAAAAAAUCAGAUGGUACCAUAGAUAGAUAUAAAGCAAGGCUAGUUGUAAAGGGUUUUCAGCAACGGUAUGGCAUUGAUUAUGAGGAUACUUUCAGUCCAGUGGUUAAGAUUGCAACUGUCAGGCUUGUCCUCUCAAUUGCUAUUUCGAAAGGGUGGUGUCCAAGAUAGUUAGAUGUAUAGAAUGUGUUUCUUCAUGGUGUUCUGGAAAAAGAAGUUUAUAUGAGGCAACCUGCAGGAUUUGAAAAAGGAGCUUUGCAUCUUGUGUGGAAAUUGGACAAGGCUAUCUACGGCUUGAAACAAGCCCCGCGAGCUUGGUAUGCUAAGUUAUGUUCCAAACUUAUUGCACUUGGAUUUGUUGCAUCUAUAUCAGACACUUCGUUAUUCAUCUAUCAAAGAUUGGGUGUCAUAAUUUAUAUGUUGAUUUAUGUUGAUGAUACAAUUGUGACAAGUUCAUCAAGUGAAGCUGUUACGACGUUGCUUGCUGAUCUCAAGAAGGAUUUUGCUCUAAAAGAUCUGGGGGACCUCAGUUACUUCCUGGGUAUUUAAAUUAAAAGAGAAAAGAAUACUCUGCUGCUAACACAAGAAAAGUAUGCAAAGGAGAUUUUGUCACGGGUUGGUAUGGAGAAUUGCAAACCAUCAUCUACACCAUUGUCUACUAGUGAGAAACUUUCAAAGUAUGAAGGGGAGUUGCUGAAUUCAAGCGAUAGUACGAGGUACAGAAGCGUCGUUGGUGCAUUGCAAUAUCUCACUCCUACCUGACCGGAUCUAGCAUUCUCUGUGAACAAAGUGUGUCAAUUUCUACAUGCUCCUACCACGGUUCAUUGGACUGCUGUAAAAAGGAUACUUCGGUAUGUCAAGUUCACAUUGGAUCUUGGACUAAAUUUUCAGGCGUCAUCCUCCACCUUGGUUAUUGCUUUCUGUGAUGCUGAUUGGGCAGGAAGUGUUGAUGAUAGAAGAUCUAUCGGAGGGUUUGCAGUUUUCUUUGGUCUGAACUUGAUUUCUUAGAGUGCUAGAAACCAAGCCACUAUCUCAAGAUCAAGUACAGAAGUUGAAUACAAGUCUAUGGCAAAUGCAACUGCAGAGUUAAUAUGGUUGGAAUCCUUGCUAAAGGAGCUGGGUAUACGGCUGCAUCAACCACCAUAUUUACAGUGUGACAAUUUGGGAGCUACAUAUUUGUCUGCCAAUCCAGUCUUUCAUGCGAGAGCAAAGCAUAUAGAAAUUGAUUUUCACUUUGUUCGCGAGCGUGUGGUAAAUAAAAAGCUGCAGGUGCUGUUGGUUGCUUCCAGAGACCAGCUUGCGGACUGUUUACCAAAGCCUUGCCGUGCGGAUUGCUGGAAGCUUUCAAGAGCAAUCUAAAUAUCAAAAGGAAGAGAAGUUUAGAUUGAGAGGGACUGUUAGAAGAACCGUCGUAUGAGACGAGGAUUGUAUCUUAGAGAUAAGAGUUGUUGGUUUGAGUUGGCCGGCUAGUAGAUAGACAUAGAAUCUUGAUGUAUUUGAAUGCUGGUUAACUCUAUCUGUAACAACAUGCAUUGUAAUCUCUUGGGACCUUCCCCCUAUAUAAACGUGCAACCACGGCGAGCCAAGAUAGGGCAACCGUGUUCAACUCUUUUGACACUGCUUCGUUAAGCUUUGUUGAGAACUCAUAAACUCACAUAGUUCUCCUCUGAGUAUUGUUCCUAACUAAAGAGUAAAAAGGUAAAAGCUCGGUGCCCGGAACCGACUCAGAACACUCGAGGCUUAACUUAGUUGGAGUUUAGCUAUUACCGUUGCCAGUGACCAGCCUCGAGCCCCUCUAGAAGCAAGGUGAUGUGAGGGUGCGAGUUUUACUAUAAGAGGUGUCCCCAUAGAACGUGCGAGGUUAAAGGUGUUCUGUUACUUUUCCUGCCGACGCAUAACUUGCAAGGUUAAGGGGUUUUUAUCCCACAAACGGUGCUCCAGGAUGUUCAGAUUUUUGGGAUCCCCAACAAACAUAAAUCUUGAGUGGCUCUAAAUUGUUGUUGGCCACAUCAUACCUUGUCUUGGGCUGCUGGGUCGUGUUGUGCACCACGAGUGCACGAUCAGACAUCCUGCAUUGUUAAGUCUUCGAUGAUACGGCUGCCUUGCUUCCUCAGCUUGUCAGCAACUGCUUCCUGACUGCUACAGUACAAUUAUUGCAUGGUAUCAAGGUAAUAUAUAUAGUGACUGAAUGAGCACAUAUAACAUAUGCAUUUAGGCCUCCAACUGGUCAUUGCACGAGCUGCCUCCUCUCCUUACCUCUGAAUUAUGGAGCCAUAUCCAACAACAACCUUGACAGUGAUGAUGAUGACGACGACGAUGAAAUUAAGAAAAGAAGCUUUAUGCAAAUUGCAAAAAGCUGAAAUAAGUGGUUGAAACAUUUCAAAUCACCAAAUGCCACAUUUGAAAUGACUAGAUGAAACAUCAUGAAAUCAAUUGCAACAGUUGAAGAUGAAAACAUUCAAACGCCUUGCCUUUCUCCAGAUUUGAUCCUCCAAGCAUAUAUGAGUCCAGACAUUUGCACAUUAGACCCUAGGGAGGAGCUCACCGGAGAACAACAAGACCGUGUUCUCCAACAAUUUUCCGAUCAAAUUGCAACAUAAAAAACAAAGCAUUGCAACACAUCUGGCAUCGCGAGCAACAACAUCAACCAGUUAGGAUCAGGAGAAAGAGGGCAAACCCAAGCCUAGCAAUGAGUUAUAUCCAGUUUAAACGAGGAUAAAAAUGAGUGUAUUUUCCACUCAUCAUGUUGUCUUUUCGCAGCUGUACCGCCUUUAGUGUGUUGUAUUGUUCCCCUAACACCAAGUCUCCGAGGCCCGAGAAAAUAAGGAAAGUGAUAGCAGCCCAGAAAUCGACCAAGUUUCUUUCCCCCUUUGGCAUUCCUACUAGAAUUCGGAAUACUCUUUCGCAUGACAAUCAUAAUUAUCUCCCACAAUCCAAAACUCACAAAAACAUCAAAAAUCUGCCGAGAAUAAAUUAAGUAAAAAACAUGCACAAACAGAUAAUAAUAAUAAUCAUGUUUCAAUAAAAUUGCUAAGGCCAGAGACAAUACAUAAACAUAUUAGACUGUUCAUGACACAUAUCACGGUGGACAGUGUCUGUGUCCUUAUUACAAGCAGCGAGAGGAAUUAAAUAUGCUUGUCACCACACACACGCGCGCGCAGAUGCACGACACACAUAUAGUUGAGACCAACAGAUGGACCUCGACUAGAGGUCGCCCCAUAUGGUGAACAAUUUAUUGGAGAUAAACAUGAACAUAACUUGGCCAUAGCUUGAAGCAUAGCAACAUAUGCCUAUGAAUGGCAUUCAUGCUGGUAGCAAUGCAAUCAUAUCGUUUUAGGCUUGUCCAGCUUCUUCCAUCUUAGCAAGCACUGCCAUUUCUUCCAUCUUAGCAGCAACUGUCAAAUUGAGAUAUGGAAAUCCCAUUAGCGCAUGAGUUAAUUUUGCAGUGGAAAUAGAGUACAAGAUGUCUUCAUGAUGUAAGUAAUAUGCCUGAAGUUGUGAGAUGGGAAGUGAAGUCAACAAAUUACAUUAACGGAAAUGCAUGGAAGGCCACACAUACGUAUUAGUCCACGAUAUGCUACAAAGCUUGUAUGUACAUAUAACAAAUUAAAUGCAUUGAAUAGAGUGAGUUUACUGAAUUUACCAGAAUCGGACAGAACACAUGGGAAACAGCAAGUGUUCUUGCAGAGUGAGUCGGAGCCACCUGCAGUAAUACAAGCAAAACAACAUGCUUUUGCCCGGGCGGAUACGCAGCAGCUGCACUGUGCCGCGGUGGCCGGGUUAACAUUGAGGCUCAAGAUGACCAGGCACAUGAUCACCAUCAAAGCGGUAGUCCUCUUUCCCUCCAUUGCCUCCUCUUUCUGCUACCUUCCUUGGUUACCUAGCUAAGUUUAUUAGUUUUGUGUUGAGAGGUGAUUCUUGAAUGGACGUUGCCGGCUGCAAUUUAUAGGCAGCUGCGCUAUGUGAUGAUAUGGACAAGGUGCAAAUGGGUGGUCCAAUGGCAAGGAAAGGGGGUAUUCUGCUUGACAUUGGCAUCAGACAAAGCCCAAUGGCAACUGCUGACACGCGAUUAAAAUCAGAUCCGCAUCUUAUCCAUCCAUUCACUAAUAAUUAAAGUAAACCCACGCGGUCCGCGAGAUGCAGCGUCCAUGCAUAGCACUUCCCGCCAAACAAUAGGAAAAAUUAGAAUUCAGAGAUAGGAGCUGCUUGCAUGAAACACGGUUGCACAGAAAUCAGUGGUGCUUGGACGGUAAGUAGUGUGGUGUACAAGCUUAAAGCGGCAGUGAGUCACGUUGGUGUAACAAGCAGUACAUCAGCUGGAAGAUUGAUAUGUCUAUUGCCCACGCAGCAUAGCAUUUUAUUAUGAUACAUUGAGUUAUGUCAUAUUGUUACUUUAAGUUAUUUUUUAAGUAUUAGUUGUAGACAAUUUAGUUGCAAAUUUAAGCGGUUAUUUUAAAUUAUUUUUUAUAAUGGCAUAAGUGGGUAAUUUAGAUGAAGAUUAGGGGGUUACUUUAGCUUAUUUUAUAUAAUAGCAGAGGUGGGUAAUUUAGAUAUAAAUUUAGGGUUACUUUAGGCUAUUUUCUUAAUGGCAUAGGUGGGUAAUUUUUUUAGAAAUUAUAAUAGAUCCAAUGGCUACGAUGUUUGAGUCUACUCGUUGAUGGCAAGAUGUUUUGCUUGUUUGUGGAAAUUUUAAAUAUGUCUCUUUUUUGUAGAGUGUCCACGUAGGAUCCUAGGUGGCUUCGCUUGGAGGCUUCAAAAGGAGGUCCAAAAUUAGUAAUAGUAUGAUUUUCUCAAAAGAGACUUAAUUCUACCACUGUAACUUGAUUGGCCGCCCCGGCCUCUACCUUUUGCCUCCAUUUGACUAUUUGAGUUGGCUGUGAACGAUUCUCGGCGCUAGCAACGUUACGUGUGAUCCAAAUGCCAGCACUCAUGUGCGCCACCUGUAUUCUAUGGGAAUGCCAUGAUGCAUGUGCAGUAACAGCGCGCACAUCUUGCAGGAUUCGCGCCUCGUUUUCACUAUUGUGUCAUCUUAGCAAUUAGGAGCGAAGUGUGCUUUGGGGUGGCAAUUGGGAUAUAGACAUUAUUCUCGAAAAGAAUCUUGAAGUCUUACAUUCACCCCCUCCGGUCGCCGGUUCCGAUCCUUCACCUAUAAAUUAGGAGUAGUAGUAGGUAGUAAGUGGCAGGUUAGGUAAGUACCCGUUGAUGAAUGUUGGCUUGGCGUGAUUGGCUCUGCUGGUUCCACGAAGAUGCCAAUAUACAGCAAGGACCUAGGUCCAAAGGGAAAAACAACCAACAAGUGGGUUUGUUGCCGACCGCUAGCUAAUCAACAGUGACGUACGGGUGGAUUCGUGCGUAAAUAUUUUUUCAAUCAUGCCAUCAGGCCGCUGAUAAAAUGGGCUUAUGGUUGGCUAACCUUUAAAACAUUCUUAGAGCUGUUGGCCAUUGUGAUAACUUUGCACGUGCAUCAUUAACAUGCCAACAUACAACAAGGACAUAAGACCAAAGGAAAGAACAACCAACAAGUGCCUUUGCUGAUCGGUCAGGUCUCAGAGUUUGAGAAACUGGAUCUGACGGAUGUGAAAUUAAUCCAUGCGUGGCCUCAUGCAAAUUUGUUCACAGGUUUGAACAGCAUGUAAUCUUUUUCAGGCAUCUAUAUGGAGCGUGGGUGUGUUAUGUUAUCUUCUACUACACAUAUAACAUCAAAUUCAUUCAGUUUGCCCGAGAGCCCAAAAUGCAACGAAUAUGCCAUCCAACGUGAAAAAAAAGAGAUGAGGAACAGUAUACUCUAUCUUCGAAAUUAGUCAACGAGAUGCAGCUUCAAAAGAGAUAAGAGCAGACAAGAGACACCAUGGGAUGCUGCAAAAUUUGGGAUCACGUGUGCAGAUCCCUUAUUAGGAAAAAAGAAUAAUUGAGCUAGCAACAAUAGUAGGACAUCUCCAUGCUCACCUAGUAUAGUAGCCACUUCUAGUGCGCGUGGAACACGACUGCCGGCCCAGUUGGCGCUAAGACAUCGUACGUGCAUUAAGUCUGAGGUGCUAGGACAGCUUCCUCUUGCUUCCCCACCAAAUCAUGAGCAACGAUCUCUUUCUUUCUAACUCAUGCUUGACUGUGACGGUGCUAUUAUAUAUUAUUGCAUGAUCAUCAAGAUAAGAUCGUAUAGUGACUGAGUGAGACAUCUAUGUACUAACUUGCAUUUAAGCCUCGAACUGUGUGUCAUUACGUGAGCUGCCUCCUGUCCUCGCCUCUGAAUUAUUGAACCGUUCCCAACAGCUUGGUCUCAAAGGAAUUUGACACCAAACAGAUUGAUAAAGAAAAGAGAAUAAUACUUGGAAUUGGAAAAAGUUGAUCUCUCUAUACAAUGAGGUAGGGCUCCCCUUUUAUAGUGACCCAUCAGCCACUUUACAUUCCGAAAAUGUCCUUCCUCAACCACUACAUUCUUAGGAUAUGCCAUACAUAAAUGUCAUUUGAGGUGACGUGUACAAAUUGAACUCUUCCACAUGGUCACGUUUCUCACGCCUCUUGUUUUCCAACCUCGAGACUUCAUCUUCAUGCCAAGUUGAUCAUCUAGCCUCGAGGCUCCAUCUACGAUCCGGAAUGAACGUACAGCCUCGAGGCUCCUGCUUCGUUAAGCUUUGUUGAGAACUCAUAACCUCACAUAGUUCUCCUCCGAGUAUUGUAUCUGACUAAAGAGUAAAAAGGUAAAAGCUCGGUGCCCGGAACCGACUGAGAACACUCGAGGCUUAGCUCAGUUGGAGUUUAGCUAUUACCGUUGCCAGUCACCAGCCUCGAGCCCCUCCAGAAACAAGGUGAUGCGAGAGUACGAGUUUUACUAUUAGAGGUGUCCCCAUAGAACGUGCGAGGUUAAUGAGUUCAGUUUCUUUUACUGCCGACGCAUAACAUGCGAGGAUCAACGAAUAUGAGGAACACUAUAUGCCAUCCAACGGGGGAAAAAAAAAGAUGAGGAACAGUAUACUCUAUCUUCGAAAUUAGUUAUAAAGAUUCAGCUUCAAAAGAGAUAACGAGGCGUCCAAGACUCGAGGAGCCAGUCAAGAGCAGACAAGAGGCACAUGAGUGCAUGCAUCCACACCUUGGGAUGCUGCAAACUUUUAUGAGGCUGCAAGCUGCAUACAUAAGUUUAUUUCACCUUUGUUCACAAUACUCUUCACACACCAUUCACACACGUCUCAGGGAGCUCUGCAGCAAUGGUGGAGAUCUUAGCUAGACUGCUCACUUCCCUUGUUGUCGCUAUUGCUAAAAACACAAGCUCACCUCUGCUAUUGCGAAGCAGACCAAUUUGCUGUGGAACUUUGGCGACGACCUGAAGGACAUGAAGUCGGUGCUGGAGUCCAUCUCAGCAGCGCUCCAGGACGCUGACACUGCUAGAAAAACAACCUUUCAUCCUCAACAAAAGUCCCGAUAGCUUUUUUACCUGGAACUAAAGAGGUUUUAGUGCUGCGCAAACACCUUUAGUCCGGGUUGCUGUUACCAACCAAGAGUAAAGGGUACGAUGGCACCAACCGGGACUAAAGCACCCCCCACGAGUUACUAUAAAGGAUUGCAUCCUCCACUUAGUCAGAUUUACUGUGUAGGUGAGAUGGUAAGGAAGCUAUGCGCGAGGCUUGAGAUCAUCGGUUCGAAUCCCACGCACCGCGCGCGCACGCGCAUAGUUUGAGUGAAAAAUCAUGUCACUUGUGAUCGGCCAAGGAGAAGUGGGUGCAGAUGUGGCUUAAGCGGCUGAGGCACGCCGCCAUAGACAUCUUGGAUUUGCUCGAAGACUACCAAGACACUAGUGAACCCUUAACAGCAAAGGUGAGUACUUAUGCAUGUCAACAUCUAUGUUGUCCAUGCUUCCAAUGCAAUAAGAAGAAGGACUACUCUUCCUAGCGGACUCUUCACAACCACUCAUAAAGCUAUGUGUUUCUCAAUGCAAUUUCGUAGAAGGCAAUGGAUCCAACCAACCGACUAAAUCAUUCGUCCUUGCCAAUGAUGUGCUUCAGGUUUUCCAUAUGAAGGACAUGUGACUACUAGAAAAACGAUCUUUCAUCCCUAGCCUUAGUACCGGUUGCAUUUGGAACCGGUACUAAUGUUUACAUUAGUACCAGUUCCAAAGGAUACUGUCCGGAGCGCACCUCGAUGACCCCUUUAGUACCGGUUGGGGGCAACAACCGGUACUAAAGGGUGAGCAUUAGUACCGGUUGUUACCUUAAUCCGGUACUAAAGGGCUACCCACCCUCUAUUACCGGUUGGUGGCAUCAACCGGUACUAAAAGGGAUACCCUCUAGCACCGGUUGCUGCCACAACCCGGUACUAGUGCGGCGCCAUGCAGAAUAGAAGGUAGAUCGAUUGUACAUGGAGGGGGAACAAAGGGAGAAAGGCAAAUCAUCAGCUUAUUAUCACAUGGUAGACUAGUCUUUAAAACAUGUUUAGGGCAGAGCACAUUACGUUUAUCUUGUUUUGCACAACAACAAAUGUGACCUUUAGAAGAUAGCCCUCCUCUAAUUAAACUAGUGCACUAUUACAGGAUGGUAUCGCACGCUUCCUUUUUCCCUAUGAAAAUGAAGUUUUUAAUGAUCUGAUAGCAGCUGGCAAAACAAAUGAUUGCAAAGAUGUUUGCAGAUGAUAAUGAUACUUAUGACCACUCUGAUGAUGAAGAGAUAGAGGAACAUUUGGUCCGUCAACGUAUUUCAAAUUAACACGUCAAAUCGCACUCAAGACCUCUCACCAACUCCUCCACCAGUUUCCAAAGGCAAAUCAACUUAUUAUCGCAUGCAUGGUAGUGUCUUUGAAACAUGUUUAGGGCACAACACAUUACGUUUAUCAUCUUUUGCACAACAUUAAAUGGACCUUUGGAAGAUAGCCCUCCUCUAAACUUGUGAUGCAUUGUAAUGAUAUGUCAUGUAUAUAUGUCUCACUUGUAUCAUAGCUGUUAAAGUACCACGUCAAAUUGCACUUGCGGUGAGAUCUCUCUGACCAAGUCCUCCACCACUUUCCAAGGCAAAUCAGACAAACUCCUUGUUAUAUUCCACAUAUUGGUUUCAUCCUUAUAUAGAUGUCCAUGUAUACUCUUUUGUUUGUCUACUCAACUUAUCACAUUGUCGUAGUGUCUUUGAAACAUGUUUAGGGAAAGUCCAUAGUGGAGGGUAGUAAAUGUCAAAGGGAGUUUGUAAGGAUAAGACAACACAAAUUUUGUAAGGGUAUUCUAAAGCAUUUGAUUCUAAACUAUCCGCGAGACCUCUCACAACCUCCUCCACCACUUUCCAAGAUAAUAUACAAUCAAAUUCCUUGUAGGAGUUUGGAUGUUGGACCAAUGGGAAGUUGACGAAAGAGUGGGACAAAAAUGUGACUCGAUCAUGUCAUUGUGGGCAAAGGUCCUGGUAGCUCAUGGAACAGAUCAUUUGAAGUACACAGGAUAGGGAGGCAAUAGUCGGCACAAGGAGAGGCAUGACCAGAAGCUUGAAAGAAGUAAACUUCAAAGCUAGGAGGAAUGUUAUUCUUGCUGGUUCAAUGUGUCUUCUUAUAGAUCAGUUCAUAGAUCUUAUGUAUUUGGCUGUGAUGAAAGCUAUGGAGCCCUCCCAGCCCCUUCGAGCUGAUGCUAAGCCCAAUCUAAACUGCAUAUGGAAUGUGAAAACUCUUUCUGCAAUGAGCCAAGCUAUCAAUCCAUACCUGUGAGGCAACAUCUCGAUUCUGUGGCUACUGACUGAGGUAUUUGGCAUAGAGUAGACCAAUGGUGCAUUGUGAAUAAGCUUAUUAGAAUGUGAAUAAGUCAGAAUUCUUGCUCGUCCUCCAUUUGUUCGCUCUCUGUUCUUUUGUUUACAAGGGACUCGGUUGAUCCGCGGGACCUCUCACCAACUCCUUCACCACUUUCCAAGGCAAAUCAGCUUAUCACAUGUGGUAGUAUCUUUGAAACAUGUUUAGGGCACAAGAGGAAGGCAUAGUGCUGGAAAAACGGUUAAUGGGGUGGCGGACGGCGGGAUGCUUCGCAUUCUCGUAUGAAGGAAGCUCCAUCAACUAGAUUGACGGUCAAGUUGCAUGAAGCAGAUGCCACAGUCGACGGAGAGAGCAUCUGGGUCUAACCAUAAUAACACAAGUCUUUCCUUUAGAUAACAUGCCAUCAGAUUCCUUGCAAGAGUUUGUAUGUUCGACCAACAGGAAGUUGACGAAAGAGUGGGACAAAAAUGUGACUCGAUCAUGUCAUUGUGGGCAAAGGUCCUAGUAGCUCAUGGAAUAGAUGAUAUCAUUUGAAGUACAUAGGACAGAGAGGCCAUAGUCGGCACAAGGAGAAGCAUGACCAGAAACUUGAAAGAGGUAAGCUUCAAAGCUAGGAGGAAUGUUAUUCUUGCUAGUUCAAUGGUGUCUUCUUAUAUAUCAGUUCAUAGAUCUUAUAUAUUUGGCCGUGAUGACAGCUAUGGAUCCCUCCGAGCCCCUUUGAGCCGAUGCCAAGCCCAAUCUGAACUGCACAUGGAACGUGAAAACUCUUUCUGCAAUGAGCCAAGCUAUCAAUAUCCAUCCCUGUGAGCCAACAUCUUGAUUCUGUGGCUACUGACUGAGGUAUUUGUCGUAGUGUCUUUGAAACAAGUCAAACACCUCACCAGGGGAUCAAGCUCCACGAGAACGAGAGCUACUUUCAGAUCCAGGAUAUUAAUCAACAAGUCAAACACCUUCCCAGGGGAUCAAGCUCCAUGAGAACGAGAGCUACUUUCAGUUCCAAGAUAUUAAUCAACAAGUCAAACACCUAACCAGGGGAUCAAGCUCCACGAGAACGAGAGCUACUUUCAGUUCUAGGAUAUGGGCAUAGCUGUGAGGGGGGCCACAACGCCCCUUUAUAUAAGGGCUACUGGUUUUGCCCUUGCCUUGUGAAGUUGUGCCACAUAACUCCCAAAAUCCCUCAAGAAAGAUAACACCACAAGCAGGAAGCCAAGUAGCUAUGGAACCUGUGACAGAUAUAGCUUCCUCAUUAUGUGACUCAUGUCAUUGUGGGUGCGGGGUGACCUUGAUCUACAACUUUGUAGUUGAAACAUUUUUCAUUUGGUGUCAUCUUGGUGCUCAAAUAAUCGACACGAACUAAAACUUGGCACCACACAUUCAAAAAAUAAUAAAAUUUAUAUGAACUCAGAUAUAGAUAAAAUUUAUAUCAAAAUUGUUGAUCUCAACGAGAUUUACAACUUUGUAGUUCAAAUUAUUUUCAUUUGGAGCCAUCUUGGUGCUCAAAUAAUCGAAACAUUUUCUAGAUCUAAAAUUUAAUUUUAGAUCGGAAACUUGUGUCGAUUAUUUGAGCACCAAGAUAAUACCAAAUGAAAAAUGUUUGAACUACAAAGUUGUAGAUCUCAUCGAGAUCUACAAUUUUCAUAUAAAGUUUAUCUCCAUCCGAGUUCAUAUGAAUUAGUUCAACCGGCGAUAAGGCUGCUACAGUGUAGCUUCCGCCGUUUCAAAUGGCGGUAUAGGUUUAGAUUAGCAAUUUUUGUAACCCAUAUAUUUUUGCAAAAUACUAAAAUAAAAAAUAUAAAAAUAAAAAAAAUCUAGUUUUAAUCAGCAAUGACUAAAUGUUAGCCCGGUUAUGCCCCAUCUUAGGUCUAAUCAUGGACCAAUAAAACAUGUGCUAGAAUUCAUGGCCACCGGAUGCGUGUUCGACCAUGUAAUCGUAUGCUAUACCUCACAGGAGGUUGAAAAUGGCCUGAAGGGGUACAGUGGAUGAAAACGUCGGGGACGCUCGGAACACAAGAAAAUGACCACCAGAUACAUGUUUGGCCAUUGUAACUGUGCUCUAUAGUUGAUAGGUUGAAAGCGGCUCGAAGAGGCAUCAGGGAUGGAAACAUGGGGGAUGGUUGGAACACUUGAAAAUGGCACUGGAUAAGUGUGCUUAUUCCUUACAAAAUGCUGAAAAUGGCUCAGAAGGGUCAUCGAGGAUGGAAACUAGGUGGUCAAUAAGUGAAAAUGGGCAGCGGACAUGUUCAGUCAUGUAACCGUGUGCUAUAGUCCACUAGAGGUCGGAAAGCUGCCCUAGGGGCUCUAGAGACGAAAACGUGAGGAAUAGCUGAAAGGUUACGUGUUUGGUCAUGACAGCCCUAUUAGGAAGCGAUAGAAGUGGAAAGAUAGCUGGUUUCAGAUUGGCAACCCAUCUUUUGCUUCCCCCUUACUUCCAUACGUAAUCCAUGGGCAUCGAAUUUAAAAGUAUACAAAUCACUUUUAGAUGUAAUUGAGGGUAAAGAGGGGAGGUUUCGUGAGACUCUACAAUGUUCAAAUCGUUCGUUCGUUAGGAUGCCUCAGCUACAUACAUCAUUGCACUUCCAGUUGACACCAAUUUAAAUGGUUCGUCUAGCCGCUACAAGGUAUCAUCAGAUAUAGAAGAAUUAGAGACUGGGGGUAAUAGCAAAAAAGGAAUAUAACUCGUCCGAGAAAGUGGGUGCAGGGGCAGUGGGGUAAGGUAAUUGAAGUAACUAGCCAGUUUCUUCCCGAAACUUCCCAAGAAAAAUCCCGAAUUGGAUCCAAAAUUGACGGAUUAAUCAACCAAAAUAACCGUGAGCAGCCACAAUGUUAUAAGUCCCUUCUUCUUGACCAAAUUUGUAACCCUUAUUAGCAGACUCAUUUUCAGUGGUUUCUUUCCCUGAUCAAACUAGAGGUUACCAAGGAACCGUGUGCUCUAGCCCACAGGUGGCCGAAAACGGCGAAGAAGGGCUUCGGGGAUGGAAACAACGUGGAUGGUCAGAACACGUGAGAAUGACCACGGGAUGCAUGUUUGGCCCUGUAACAGUGUGCUAUAGGAAGCCGGAAAUGGCCAGGAGGGUCACCAGGGAUGAAGAUGCAGGGAUGGAUGGAACACGCGAAAAUGGCCACCAGUGAUUAGUGGCAGGUCUACAGAGAUAUCUCAUCAAAUCGGUGAUUUAUAUCCGAUUUAAACGAGGAUAAAAAUGAGUGUAUUUUCCACCCAUCAUGUUGACUUUUCGCAGCUAUACUGCCUUUAGUGUGUUGUAUUGUUCCCAUGACACCAAGUCUCCAAGGCCCGAGAAAAUAAGGAAAGUGAUAGCAGCCUAGAAAUCGACCAAGUUUCUUUCCCCCUUUGGCAUUCCUACUAGGAUUCGGAAUACUCUUUCGCAUGACAAUCAUAAUUAUCUCCCAUAAUCCAAAACUCACAAAAACAUCAAAAAUCCGCCGAGAAUAAAUUAAGUAAAAAACAGGCACACAUAGAUAAUAAUAAUAAUAAUAAUAAUCAUGUUUCUAUAAAAUUGCUAAGGCCAGAGAUAAUACAUAAAAAUAUUAGACUGCUCAUGACACAUAUCACGGUGGACAAUGUCUGUGUCCUUAUUACAAGCAGCGAGAGGAAUUAAACAUGCUUGUCACCACACACACGAGCGCACAGAUGCACGACACACAUAUAGUUGAGACCAACAGAUGGACCUCGACUACAGGUCGCCCCAUAUGGUGAACAAUUUAUUGGAGAUAAACAUGAACAUAACUUGGCCAUAGCUUGAAGCAUAGCAACAUAUGCCUAUGAAUGGCAUUCAUGCUGGUAGCAAUGCAAUCAUAUCGUUUUAGGCCUGUCCAGCUUCUUCCAUCUUAGCAAGCACUGCCAUUUCUUCCAUCUUAGCAGCAACUGUCAAAUUGAGAUAUGGAAAUCCCAUUAGCGCAUGAGUUAAUUUUGCAGUGGAAAUAGAGUACAAGAUGUCUUCAUGAUGUAAGUAAUAUGCCUGAAGUUGUGAGAUGGGAAGUGAAGUCAACAAAUUACAUUAACGGAAAUGCAUGGAAGGCCACACAUACGUAUUAGUCCACGAUAUGCUACAAAGCUUGUAUGUACAUAUAACAAAUUAAAUGCAUUGAAUAGAGUGAGUUUACUGAAUUUACCAGAAUCGGACAGAACACAUGGGAAACAGCAAGUGUUCUUGCAGAGUGAGUCGGAGCCACCUGCAGUAAUACAAGCAAAACAACAUGCUUUUGCCCGGGCGGAUACGCAGCAGCUGCACUGUGCCGCGGUGGCCGGGUUAACAUUGAGGCUCAAGAUGACCAGGCACAUGAUCACCAUCAAAGCGGUAGUCCUCUUUCCCUCCAUUGCCUCCUCUUUCUGCUACCUUCCUUGGUUACCUAGCUAAGUUUAUUGGUUUUGUGUUGAGAGGUGAUUCUUGAAUGGACGUUGCCGGCUGCAAUUUAUAGGCAGCUGCGCUAUGUGAUGAUAUGGACAAGGUGCAAAUGGGUGGUCCAAUGGCAAGGAAAGGGGGUAUUCUGCUUGACAUUGGCAUCAGACAAAGCCCAAUGGCAACUGCUGACACGCGAUUAAAAUCAGAUCCGCAUCUUAUCCAGCCAUUCACUAAUAAUUAAAGUAAACCCACGCGGUCCGCGAGAUGCAGCGUCCAUGCAUAGCACUUCCCGCCAAACAAUAGGAAAAAUUAGAAUUCAGAGAUAGCAGCUGCUUGCAUGAAACACGGUUGCACAGAAAUCAGUGGUGCUUGGACGGUAAGUAGUGUGGUGUACAAGCUUAAAGCGGCAGUGAGUCAGGUUAGUGUAACAAGCAGUACAUCAGCUGGAAGAUUGAUAUGUCUAUUGCCCACGCAGCAUAGCAUUUUAUUAUGAUACAUUGAGUUAUGUCAUAUUGUUACUUUAAGUUAUUUUUUAAGUAUUAGUUGUAGACAAUUUAGUUGCAAAUUUAAGCGGUUAUUUUAAAUUAUUUUUUAUAAUGGCAUAAGUGGGUAAUUUAGAUGAAGAUUAGGGGGUUACUUUAGCUUAUUUUAUAUAAUAGCAGAGGUGGGUAAUUUAGAUAUAAAUUUAGGGUUACUUUAGGCUAUUUUCUUAAUGGCAUAGGUGGGUAAUUUUUUUAGAAAUUAUAAUAGAUCUAAUGGCUACGAUGUUUGAGUCUACUCGUUGAUGGCAAGAUAUUUUGCUUGUUUGUGGAAAUUUUAAAUAUGUCUCUUUUUUGUAGAGUGUCCACCUAGGAUCCUAGGUGGCUUCGCUUGGAGGCUUCAAAAGGAGCUCCAAAAUUAGUAAUAGUAUGAUUUUCUCAAAAGAGACUUAAUUCUACCACUGUAACUUGAUUGGCCACCCUGGCCUCUACCUUUUCCCUCCAUUUGACUAUUUGAGUUGGCUGUGAACGAUUCUCGGCGCUAGCAACGUUACGUGUGAUCCAAAUGCCAGCACUCAUGUGCGCCACCUGUAUUCUAUGGGAAUGCCAUGAUGCAUGUGCAGUAACAGCGCGCACAUCUUGCAGGAUUCGCGCCUCGUUUUCACUAUUGUGUCAUCUUAGCAAUUAAAAGCGAAGUGUGCUUUGGGGUGGCAAUUGGGAUAUAGACAUUAUUCUCAAAAAGAAUCUUGAAGGCUUACAUUCACCCCCUCCGGUCGCCGGUUCCGAUCCUUCACCUAUAAAUUAGGAGUAGUAGUAGGUAGUAAGUGGCAGGUUAGGUAAGUACCCGUUGAUGAAUGUUGGCUUGGCGUGAUCGGCUCUGCUGGUUCCACGAAGAUGCCAAUAUACAGCAAGGACCUAAGUCCAAGGGGAAAAACAACCAACAAGUAGGUUUGUUGCCGACCGCUAGCUAAUCAACAGUGAUGUACGGGUGGAUUCGUGCGUAAAUAUUUUUUCAAUCAUGCCAUCAGGCCGCUGAUAAAAUGGGCUUAUGUUUGGCUAACCUUUAAAACAUUCUUAGAGCUGUUGGCCAUUGUGAUAACUUUGCACGUGCAUCAUUAACAUGCCAACAUACAACAAGGACAUAAGACCAAAGGAAAGAACAACCAACAAGUGCCUUUGCUGAUCGGUCAGGUCUCAGAGUUUGAGAAACUGGAUCUGACGGAUGUGAAAUUAAUCCAUGCGUGGCCUCAUGCAAAUUUGUUCACAGGUUUGAACAGCAUGUAAUCUUUUUCAGGCAUCUAUAUGGAGCGUGGGUGUGUUAUGUUAUCUUCUACUACACAUAUAACAUCAAAUUCAUUCAGUUUGGCCGAGAGCCCAAAAUGCAACGAAUAUGCCAUCCAACGUGAAAAAAAAGAGAUGAGGAACAGUAUACUCUAUCUUCGAAAUUAGUCAACGAGAUGCAGCUUCAAAAGAGAUAAGAGCAGACAAGAGGCACCAUGGGAUGCUGCAAAAUUUGGGAUCACGUGUGCAGAUCCCUAAUUAGGAAAAAAGAAUAAUUGAGCUAGCAACAAUAGUAGGACAUCUCCAUGCUCACCUAGUAUAGUAGCCACUUCUAGUGCGCGUGGAACACGACUGCCGGCCCAGUUGGCGCUAAGACAUCGUACGUGCAUUAAGUCUGAGGUGCUAGGACAGCUUCCUCUUGCUUCCCCACCAAAUCAUGAGCAACGAUCUCUUUCUUUCUAACUCAUGCUUGACUGUGACGGUGCUAUUAUAUAUUAUUGCAUGAUCAUCAAGAUAAGAUCGUAUAGUGACUGAGUGAGACAUCUAUGUACUAACUUGCAUUUAAGCCUCGAACUGUGUGUCAUUACGUGAGCUGCCUCCUGUCCUCGCCUCUGAAUUAUUGAACCGUUCCCAACAGCUAGUGUUGGUCUCAAAGGAAUUUGACACCAAACAGAUUGAUAAAGAAAAGAGAAUAAUACCUGGAAUUGGAAAAAGUUGAUCUCUCUAUACAAUGAGGUAGGGCUCCCCUUUUAUAGUGACCCAUCAGCCACUUUACAUUCCGAAAAUGUCCUUCCUCAACCACUACAUUCUUAGGAUAUGCCAUACAUAAAUGUCAUUUGAGGUGACGCGUACAAAUUGAACUCUUCCACGUGGUCACGUUUCUCACGCCUCUUGUUUUCCAACCUCGAGACUUCAUCUUCAUGCCAAGUUGAUCAUCUAGCCUCGAGGCUCCAUCUACGAUCCGGAAUGAACGUACAGCCUCGAGGCUCCUGCUUCGUUAAGCUUUGUUGAGAACUCAUAACCUCACAUAGUUCUCCUCCGAGUAUUGUAUCUGACUAAAGAGUAAAAAGGUAAAAGCUCGGUGCCCGGAACCGACUGAGAACACUCGAGGCUUAUAGCUCAGUUGGAGUUUAGCUAUUACCGUUGCCAGUCACCAGCCUCGAGCCCCUCCAGAAACAAGGUGAUGCGAGAGUACGAGUUUUACUAUUAGAGGUGUCCCCAUAGAACGUGCGAGGUUAAUGAGUUCAGUUUCUUUUACUGCCGACGCAUAACAUGCGAGGAUCAACGAAUAUGAGGAAUGGGACAUAGAACGUGCGAGGUUAAUGAGUUCAGUUUCUUUUACUGCCGACGCAUAACAUGCGAGGAUCAACGAAUAUGAGGAACACUAUAUGCCAUCCAACGGGAAAAAAAAAGAUGAGGAACAGUAUACUCUAUCUUCGAAAUUAGUUAUAAAGAUUCAGCUUCAAAAGAGAUAACGAGGUGUCCAAGACUCGAGGAGCCAGUCAAGAGCAGACAAGAGGCACAUGAGUGCAUGCAUCCACACCUUGGGAUGCUGCAAACUUUUAUGAGGCUGCAAGCUGCAUACAUAAGUUUAUUUCACCUUUGUUCACAAUACUCUUCACACACCAUUCACACACGUCUCAGGGAGCUCUGCAGCAAUGGUGGAGAUCUUAGCUAGACUGCUCACUUCCCUUGUUGUCGCUAUUGCUAAAAACACAAGCUCACCUCUGCUAUUGCGAAGCAGGCCAAUUUGCUGUGGAACUUUGGCGACGACCUGAAGGACAUGAAGUCGGUGCUGGAGUCCAUCUCAGCAGCGCUCCAGGACGCUGACACUGCUAGAAAAACGACCUUUCAUCCUCAACAAAAGUCCCGGUAGCUUUUUUACCUGGAACUAAAGAGGUUUUAGUGCUGCGCAAACACCUUUAGUCCGGGUUGCUGUUACCAACCAGGAGUAAAGGGUACGAUGGCACCAACCGGGACUAAAGCACCCCCCACGAGUUACUAUAAAGGAUUGCAUCCUCCACUUAGUCAGAUUUACUGUGUAGGUGAGAUGGUAAGGAAGCUAUGCGCGAGGCUUGAGAUCAUCGGUUCGAAUCCCAUGCACCGCGCGCGCACGCGCAUAGUUUGAGUGAAAAAUCAUGUCACUUGUGAUCGGCCAAGGAGAAGUGGGUGCAGAUGUGGCUUAAGCGGCUGAGGCACGCCGCCAUAGACAUCUCGGAUUUGCUACAUACAUCAUUGCACUUCCAAUUGACACCAAUUUAAAUGGUUCGUCUAGCCGCUACAAGGUAUCAUCAGAUAUAGAAGAAUUAGAGACUGGGGGUAAUAGCAAAAAAGGAAUAUAACUCGUCCGAGAAAUUGGGUGCAGGGGCGUGGGGUAAGGUAAUUGAAGUAACUAGCCAGUUUCUUCCCGAAACUUCCCAAGAAAAAUCCCGAAUUGGAUCCAAAAUUGACGGAUUAAUCAACCAAAAUAACCGUGAGCAGCCACAAUGUUAUAAGUCCCUUCUUCUUGACCAAAUUUGUAACCCUUAUUAGCAUACUCAUUUUCAGUGGUUUCCGUGAUCAAACUAGAGGUUACCAAGGAACCGUGUGCUCUAGCCCACAGGUGGCCGAAAACGGCCAAGAAGGGCUUCGGGGAUGGAAACAACGUGGAUGGUCAGAACACGUGAGAAUGACCACGGGAUGCAUGUUUGGCCCUGUAACAGUGUGCUAUAGAAAGCCGGAAAUGGCCAGGAGGGUCACCAGGGAUGAAGAUGCAGGGAUGGAUGGAACACGCGAAAAUGGCCACCAGUGAUUAGUGGCAGGUCUAGAGAGAUAUCUCAUCAAAUCGGUGAGUUAUAUCCGAUUUAAACGAGGAUAAAAAUGAGUGUAUUUUCCACCCAUCAUGUUGACUUUUCGCAGCUAUACUGCCUUUAGUGUGUUGUAUUGUUCCCAUGACACCAAGUCUCCAAGGCCCGAGAAAAUAAGGAAAGUGAUAGCAGCCCAGAAAUCGACCAAGUUUCUUUCCCCCUUUGGCAUUCCUACUAGGAUUCGGAAUACUCUUUCGCAUGACAAUCAUAAUUAUCUCCCAUAAUCCAAAACUCACAAAAACAUCAAAAAUCCGCCUAGAAUAAAUUAACUAAAAAACAUGCACACACAGAUAAUAAUAAUAAUAAUAAUAAUAAUAAUAAUAAUAAUAAUAAUAAUAAUAAUGUUUCUAUAAAAUUGCGAAGGCCAGAGACAAUACAUAAAAAUAUUAGACUGCUCAUGACACAUAUCACGGUGGACAGUGUCUACGUCCUUAUUACAAGCAGCGAGAGGAAUUAAACAUGCUUGUCACCACACACACGCGCGCGCACAGAUGCACGACACACAUAUGGUUGAGACCAACAAAUGGACCUCGACUAGAGGUCGCCCCAUAUGGUGAACAAUUUAUUGGAGAUAAACAUGAACAUAACUUGGCCAUAGCUUGAAGCAUAGCAACAUAUGCCUAUGAAUGGCAUUCAUGCUGGUAGCAAUGCAAUCAUAUCGUUUUAGGCUUGUCCAGCUUCUUCCAUCUUAGCAAGCACUGCCAUUUCUUCCAUCUUAGCAGCAACUGUCAUAUUGAGAUAUGGAAAUCCCAUUAGCGUAGGAGCUAAUUUUGCAGUGGAAAUAGAGUACAAGAUGUCUUCAUGAUGUAAGUAAUAUGCCUGAAGUUGUUAGAUGGGAAGUGAAGUCAACAAAUUACAUUAACGGAAAUGUAUGGAAGGCCACACAUACGUAUUAGUCCACGAUAUGCUACAAAGCUUGUAUGUACAUAUAACAAAUUAAAUGCAUUGAAUAGAGUGAGUUUACUGAAUUUACCAGAAUCGGACAGAACACAUGGGAAACAGCAAGUGUUCUUGCAGAGUGAGUCGGAGCCACCUGCAGUAAUACAAGCAAAACAACAUGCUUUUGCCCGGGCGGAUACGCAGCAGCUGCACUGUGCCGCGGUGGCCGGGUUAACAUUGAGGCUCAAGAUGACCAGGCACACGAUCACCAUCAAAGCGGUAGUCCUCUUUCCCUCCAUUGCCUCCUCUUUCUGCUACCUUCCUUGGUUACCUAGCUAAGUUUAUUGGUUUUGUGUUGAGAGGUGAUUCUUGAAUGGACGUUGCCGGCUGCAAUUUAUAGGCAGCUGCGCUAUGUGAUGAUAUGGACAAGGUGCAAAUGGGUGGUCCAAUGGCAAGGAAAGGGGGUAUUCUGCUUGACAUUGGCAUCAGACAAAGCCCAAUGGCAACUGCUGACACGCGAUUAAAAUCAGAUCCGCAUCUUAUCCAGCCAUUCACUAAUAAUUAAAGUAAACCCACGCGGUCCGCGAGAUGCAGCGUCCAUGCAUAGCACUUCCCGCCAAACAAUAGGAAAAAUUAGAAUUCAGAGAUAGCAGCUGCUUGCAUGAAACACGGUUGCACAGAAAUCAGUGGUGCUUGGACGGUAAGUAGUGUGGUGUACAAGCUUAAAGCGGCAGUGAGUCAGGUUGGUGUAACAAGCAGUACAUCAGCUGGAAGAUUGAUAUGUCUAUUGCCCACGCAGCAUAGCAUUUUAUUAUGAUACAUUGAGUUAUGUCAUAUUGUUACUUUAAGUUAUUUUUUAAGUAUUAGUUGUAGACAAUUUAGUUGCAAAUUUAAGCGGUUAUUUUAAAUUAUUUUUUAUAAUGGCAUAAGUGGGUAAUUUAGAUGAAGAUUAGGGGGUUACUUUAGCUUAUUUUAUAUAAUAGCAGAGGUGGGUAAUUUAGAUAUAAAUUUAGGGUUACUUUAGGCUAUUUUCUUAAUGGCAUAGGUGGGUAAUUUUUUUAGAAAUUAUAAUAGAUCCAAUGGCUACGAUGUUUGAGUCUACUCGUUGAUGGCAAGAUAUUUUGCUUGUUUGUGGAAAUUUUAAAUAUGUCUCUUUUUUGUAGAGUGUCCACCUAGGAUCCUAGGUGGCUUCGCUUGGAGGCUUCAAAAGGAGCUCCAAAAUUAGUAAUAGUAUGAUUUUCUCAAAAGAGACUUAAUUCUACCACUGUAACUUGAUUGGCCACCCCGGCCUCUACCUUUUCCCUCCAUUUGACUAUUUGAGUUGGCUGUGAACGAUUCUCGGCGCUAGCAACGUUACGUGUGAUCCAAAUGCCAGCACUCAUGUGCGCCACCUGUAUUCUAUGGGAAUGCCAUGAUGCAUGUGCAGUAACAGCGCGCACAUCUUGCAGGAUUCGCGCCUCGUUUUCACUAUUGUGUCAUCUUAGCAAUUAGGAGCGAAGUGUGCUUUGGGGUGGCAAUUGGGAUAUAGACAUUAUUCUCGAAAAGAAUCUUGAAGGCUUACAUUCACCCCCUCCGGUCGCCGGUUCCGAUCCUUCACCUAUAAAUUAGGAGUAGUAGUAGGUAGUAAGUGGCAGGUUAGGUAAGUACCCGUUGAUGAAUGUUGGCUUGGCGUGAUCGGCUCUGCUGGUUCCACGAAGAUGCCAAUAUACAGCAAGGACCUAAGUCCAAGGGGAAAAACAACCAACAAGUAGGUUUGUUGCCGACCGCUAGCUAAUCAACAGUGAUGUACGGGUGGAUUCGUGCGUAAAUAUUUUUUCAAUCAUGCCAUCAGGCCGCUGAUAAAAUGGGCUUAUGUUUGGCUAACCUUUAAAACAUUCUUAGAGCUGUUGGCCAUUGUGAUAACUUUGCACGUGCAUCAUUAACAUGCCAACAUACAACAAGGACAUAAGACCAAAGGAAAGAACAACCAACAAGUGCCUUUGCUGAUCGGUCAGGUCUCAGAGUUUGAGAAACUGGAUCUGACGGAUGUGAAAUUAAUCCAUGCGUGGCCUCAUGCAAAUUUGUUCACAGGUUUGAACAGCAUGUAAUCUUUUUCAGGCAUCUAUAUGGAGCGUGGGUGUGUUAUGUUAUCUUCUACUACACAUAUAACAUCAAAUUCAUUCAGUUUGGCCGAGAGCCCAAAAUGCAACGAAUAUGCCAUCCAACGUGAAAAAAAAGAGAUGAGGAACAGUAUACUCUAUCUUCGAAAUUAGUCAACGAGAUGCAGCUUCAAAAGAGAUAAGAGCAGACAAGAGGCACCAUGGGAUGCUGCAAAAUUUGGGAUCACGUGUGCAGAUCCCUAAUUAGGAAAAAAGAAUAAUUGAGCUAGCAACAAUAGUAGGACAUCUCCAUGCUCACCUAGUAUAGUAGCCACUUCUAGUGCGCGUGGAACACGACUGCCGGCCCAGUUGGCGCUAAGACAUCGUACGUGCAUUAAGUCUGAGGUGCUAGGACAGCUUCCUCUUGCUUCCCCACCAAAUCAUGAGCAACGAUCUCUUUCUUUCUAACUCAUGCUUGACUGUGACGGUGCUAUUAUAUAUUAUUGCAUGAUCAUCAAGAUAAGAUCGUAUAGUGACUGAGUGAGACAUCUAUGUACUAACUUGCAUUUAAGCCUCGAACUGUGUGUCAUUACGUGAGCUGCCUCCUGUCCUCGCCUCUGAAUUAUUGAACCGUUCCCAACAGCUAGUGUUGGUCUCAAAGGAAUUUGACACCAAACAGAUUGAUAAAGAAAAGAGAAUAAUACCUGGAAUUGGAAAAAGUUGAUCUCUCUAUACAAUGAGGUAGGGCUCCCCUUUUAUAGUGACCCAUCAGCCACUUUACAUUCCGAAAAUGUCCUUCCUCAACCACUACAUUCUUAGGAUAUGCCAUACAUAAAUGUCAUUUGAGGUGACGCGUACAAAUUGAACUCUUCCACGUGGUCACGUUUCUCACGCCUCUUGUUUUCCAACCUCGAGACUUCAUCUUCAUGCCAAGUUGAUCAUCUAGCCUCGAGGCUCCAUCUACGAUCCGGAAUGAACGUACAGCCUCGAGGCUCCUGCUUCGUUAAGCUUUGUUGAGAACUCAUAACCUCACAUAGUUCUCCUCCGAGUAUUGUAUCUGACUAAAGAGUAAAAAGGUAAAAGCUCGGUGCCCGGAACCGACUGAGAACACUCGAGGCUUAUAGCUCAGUUGGAGUUUAGCUAUUACCGUUGCCAGUCACCAGCCUCGAGCCCCUCCAGAAACAAGGUGAUGCGAGAGUACGAGUUUUACUAUUAGAGGUGUCCCCAUAGAACGUGCGAGGUUAAUGAGUUCAGUUUCUUUUACUGCCGACGCAUAACAUGCGAGGAUCAACGAAUAUGAGGAACACUAUAUGCCAUCCAACGGGAAAAAAAAGAUGAGGAACAGUAUACUCUAUCUUCGAAAUUAGUUAUAAAGAUUCAGCUUCAAAAGAGAUAACGAGGCGUCCAAGACUCGAGGAGCCAGUCAAGAGCAGACAAGAGGCACAUGAGUGCAUGCAUCCACACCUUGGGAUGCUGCAAACUUUUAUGAGGCUGCAAGCUGCAUACAUAAGUUUAUUUCACCUUUGUUCACAAUACUCUUCACACACCAUUCACACACGUCUCAGGGAGCUCUGCAGCAAUGGUGGAGAUCUUAGCUAGACUGCUCACUUCCCUUGUUGUCGCAAUUGCUAAAAACACAAGCUCACCUCUGCUAUUGCGAAGCAGGCCAAUUUGCUGUGGAACUUUGGCGACGACCUGAAGGACAUGAAGUCGAUGCUGGAGUCCAUCUCAGCAGCGCUCCAGGACGCUGACACUGCUAGAAAAACGACCUUUCAUCCUCAACAAAAGUCCCGGUAGCUUUUUUACCUGGAACUAAAGAGGUUUUAGUGCUGCGCAAACACCUUUAGUCCGGGUUGCUGUUACCAACCAAGAGUAAAGGGUACGAUGGCACCAACCGGGACUAAAGCACCCCCCACGAGUUACUAUAAAGGAUUGCAUCCUCCACUUAGUCAGAUUUACUGUGUAGGUGAGAUGGUAAGGAAGCUAUGCGCGAGGCUUGAGAUCAUCGGUUCGAAUCCCACGCACCGCGCGCGCACGCGCAUAGUUUGAGUGAAAAAUCAUGUCACUUGUGAUCGGCCAAGGAGAAGUGGGUGCAGAUGUGGCUUAAGCGGCUGAGGCACGCCGCCAUAGACAUCUCGGAUUUGCUCGAAGACUACCAAGACACUAGCGAACCCUUAACAGCAAAGGUGAGUACUUAUGCGUGUCAACAUCUAUGUUGUCCAUGCUUCCAAUGCAAUAAGAAGAAGGACUACUCUUCCUAGCGGACUCUUCACAACCACUCGUAAAGCUAUGUGUUUCUCAAUUCAAUUUCGUAGAAGGCAAUGGAUCCAAUCAACCGACUAAAUCAUUCGUCCUUGCCAAUGAUGUGCUUCAGGUUUUCUAUAUGAAGGACAUGUGACUACUAGAAAAACGAUCUUUCAUCCCUAGCCUUAGUACCGGUUGCAUUUGGAACCGGUACUAAUGUUUACAUUAGUACCGGUUCCAAAGGAUACUAUCCGGAGCGCACCUCGAUGACCCCUUUAGUACCGGUUGGGGGCAACAACCGGUACUAAAGGGUGAGCAUUAGUACCGGUUGUUACCUUAAUCCGGUACUAAAGGGCUACCCACCCUCUAUUACCGGUUGGUGGCAUCAACCGGUACUAAAAGGGAUACCCUCUAGCACCGGUUGCUGCCACAACCCGGUACUAGUGCGGCGCCAUGCAGAAUAGAAGGUAGAUCGAUUGUACAUGGAGGGGGAACAAAGGGAGAAAGGCAAAUCAUCAGCUUAUUAUCACAUGGUAGACUAGUCUUUAAAACAUGUUUAGGGCAGAGCACAUUACGUUUAUCUUGUUUUGCACAACAACAAAUGUGACCUUUAGAAGAUAGCCCUCCUCUAAUUAAACUAGUGCACUAUUACAGGAUGGUAUCGCACGCUUCCUUUUUCCCUAUGAAAAUGAAGUUUUUAAUGAUCUGAUAGCAGCUGGCAAAACAAAUGAUUGCAAAGAUGUUUGCAGAUGUUUGCAGAUGAUAAUGCCACAGUCGACGGAGAGAGCAUCUGGGUCUAACCAUAAUAACACAAGUCUUUCCUUUAGAUAACAUGCCAUCAGAUUCCUUGCAAGAGUUUGUAUGUUCGACCAACAGGAAGUUGACGAAAGAGUGGGACAAAAAUGUGACUCGAUCAUGUCAUUGUGGGCAAAGGUCCUAGUGGCUCAUGGAAUAGAUGAUAUCACUUGAAGUACAUAGGACAGAGAGGCCAUAGUCGGCACAAGGAGAAGCAUGACCAGAAACUUGAAAGAGGUAAGCUUCAAAGCUAGGAGGAAUGUUAUUCUUGCUAGUUCAAUGGUGUCUUCUUAUAGAUCAGUUCAUAGAUCUUAUAUAUUUGGCCGUGACGAUAAUAAAUAUUUAAUAUGAACUCAGAUAUAGAUAAAAUUUAUAUCAAAAUUGUUGAUCUCAACGAGAUUUACAACUUUGUAGUUCAAAUUAUUUUCAUUUGGAGCCAUCUUGGUGCUCAAAUAAUCGAAACAUUUUUUAGAUCUAAAAUUUAAUUUUAGAUCUAAAACUUGUGUCGAUUAUUUGAGCACCAAGAUAAUACCAAAUGAAAAAUGUUUGAACUACAAAGUUGUAGAUCUCGUCGAGAUCUACAAUUUUCAUAUAAAGUUUAUCUCCAUCCGAGUUCAUAUGAAUUAGUUCAACCGGCGGUAAUGCUGCUACAGUGUAGCUUCUGCCGUUUCAAACGACGGUAUAGGUUUAGAUUACCAAUUUUUUUUAACCCAUAUAUUUUUGCAAAAUACUAAAAUAAAAAAUAUAUAAAAAAAUUCUAGUUUUAAUCAGCAAUGACUAAAUGUUAGCCCGGUUAUGCCCCAUGUUAGGUCUAGUCAUGGACCAAUAAAACAUGUGCUAGACUUCAUGGCCACCGGAUGCGUGUUCAACCAUGUAAUCGUAUGCUAUACCUCACAGGAGGUUGAAAAUGGCCCGAAGGGGUACAGUGGAUGAAAACGUCGGGGACACUCGGAACACAAGAAAAUGACCACCAGAUACGUGUUUGGCCAUUGUAACUGUGCGCUAUAGUUGAUAGGUUGAAAGCGGCUCGAAGAGGCAUCAGGGAUGGAAACAUGGGGGAUGGUCGGAACACUUGAAAAUGGCACUGGAUAAGUGUGCUUAUUCCUUACAAAACGCUGAAAAUGGCUCGGAAGGGUCAUCGAGGAUGGAAACUAGGUGGUCAAUAAGUGAAAAUGGGCAGCGGACAUGUUCGGUCAUGUAACCGUGUGCUAUAGUCCACUAGAGGUCGGAAAGCUGCCCUAGGGGCUCUAGAGACGAAAACGUGAGGAACAGCUAAAAGGUUACGUGUUUGGUCAUGACAGCCCUAUUAGGAAGCGAUAGAAGUGGAAAGAUAGCUGGUUUCAGAUUGGCAACCCAUCUUUUGCUUCCCCCUUACUUCCAUCCGUAAUCCAUGGGCAUCGAAUUUAAAAGUAUACAAAUCACUUUUAGAUGUAAUUGAGGGUAAAGAGGGGAGGUUUCGUGAGACUCUACAAUGUUCAAAUCGUUCAUUCGUUAGGAUGCCUCAGCUACAUACAUCAUUGCACUUCCAAUUGACACCAAUUUAAAUGGUUCGUCUAGCCGCUACAAGGUAUCAUCAGAUAUAGAAGAAUUAGAGACUGGGGGUAAUAGCAAAAAAGGAAUAUAACUCGUCCGAGAAAUUGGGUGCAGGGGCGUGGGGUAAGGUAAUUGAAGUAACUAGCCAGUUUCUUCCCGAAACUUCCCAAGAAAAAUCCCGAAUUGGAUCCAAAAUUGACGGAUUAAUCAACCAAAAUAACCGUGAGCAGCCACAAUGUUAUAAGUCCCUUCUUCUUGACCAAAUUUGUAACCCUUAUUAGCAUACUCAUUUUCAGUGGUUUCCGUGAUCAAACUAGAGGUUACCAAGGAACCGUGUGCUCUAGCCCACAGGUGGCCGAAAACGGCCAAGAAGGGCUUCGGGGAUGGAAACAACGUGGAUGGUCAGAACACGUGAGAAUGACCACGGGAUGCAUGUUUGGCCCUGUAACAGUGUGCUAUAGAAAGCCGGAAAUGGCCAGGAGGGUCACCAGGGAUGAAGAUGCAGGGAUGGAUGGAACACGCGAAAAUGGCCACCAGUCAUUAGUGGCAGGUCUAGAGAGAUAUCUCAUCAAAUCGGUGAGUUAUAUCCGAUUUAAACGAGGAUAAAAAUGAGUGUAUUUUCCACCCAUCAUGUUGACUUUUCGCAGCUAUACUGCCUUUAGUGUGUUGUAUUGUUCCCAUGACACCAAGUCUCCAAGGCCCGAGAAAAUAAGGAAAGUGAUAGCAGCCCAGAAAUCGACCAAGUUUCUUUCCCCCUUUGGCAUUCCUACUAGGAUUCGGAAUACUCUUUCGCAUGACAAUCAUAAUUAUCUCCCAUAAUCCAAAACUCACAAAAACAUCAAAAAUCCGCCGAGAAUAAAUUAACUAAAAAACAUGCACACACAGAUAAUAAUAAUAAUAAUAAUAAUAAUAAUAAUAAUAAUAAUAAUAAUAAUAAUAAUAAUAAUAAUCAUGUUUCUAUAAAAUUGCUAAGGCCAGAGACAAUACAUAAAAAUAUUAGACUGCUCAUGACACAUAUCACGGUGGACAGUGUCUGUGUCCUUAUUACAAGCAGCGAGAGGAAUUAAACAUGCUUGUCACCACACAUGCGCGCGCACAGAUGCACGACACACAUAUGGUUGAGACCAACAGAUGGACCUCGACUAGAGGUCGCCCCAUAUGGUGAACAAUUUAUUGGAGAUAAACAUGAACAUAACUUGGCCAUAGCUUGAAGCAUAGCAACAUAUGCCUAUGAAUGGCAUUCAUGUUGGUAGCAAUGCAAUCAUAUCGUUUUAGGCUUGUCCAGGUUCUUCCAUCUUAGCAAGCACUGCCAUUUCUUCCAUCUUAGCAGCAACUGUCAAAUUGAGAUAUGGAAAUCCCAUUAGCGCAUGAAUUAAUUUUGCAGUGGAAAUAGAGUACAAGAUAUCUUCAUGAUGUAAGUAAUAUGCCUGAAGUUGUGAGAUGGGAAGUGAAGUCAACAAAUUACAUUAACGGAAAUGCAUGGAAGGCCACACAUAUGUAUUAGUCCACGAUAUGCUACAAAGCUUGUAUGUACAUAUAACAAAUUAAAUGCAUUGAAUAGAGUGAGUUUACUGAAUUUACCAGAAUCGGACAGAACACAUGGGAAACAGCAAGUGUUCUUGCAGAGUGAGUCGGAGCCACCUGCAGUAAUACAAGCAAAACAACAUGCUUUUGCCCGGGCGGAUACGCAGCAGCUGCACUGUGCCGCGGUGGCCGGGUUAACAUUGAGGCUCAAGAUGACCAGGCACAUGAUCACCAUCAAAGGGGUAGUCCUCUUUCCCUCCAUUGCCUCCUCUUGCUGCUACCUUCCUUGGUUACCUAGCUAAG